AGUUACCAAUGCGGUUUUGUGCAAUCAGUGUACAACCAACUCAUAGUAACAACUCAUAUCUCUAGGUUUGAAGAAUAUAAAAUAUUAUCGUCUCAUGAUCACUCGUGAUAAAAUCCAUGAAGUGAUUCAAAUGAGCGCGGGUUGAAUCCAAUACUCAGAACUUAUGAGCACUCAUGAGUGUUGUAGCCCUUUGUCCAACACCUUAGACCUCUACAAGCCAACCCAUGACAGUCUUAAUUCAUAUCUACUUCCAACAUAUGACCGACUGUGGAUGGUUUGAAUAACUUAGUCAUUCCGAAAGAAUAACCUAGUUAUUAUGGAUGUCAAAACAUGCAAAGCGAAACACAAGAAUAAUCGAAUCCAAUAUGGUCUCAGAACUUAUGAAUAUAAAUAAAUAACCUUUUAUUUAUCACCAUAUUGAUUACCCAUCAUUCAGUGCAUACUGUUUCAACUGUCAACUUUAUACUUGAAUUAAAAACAAUAGUUGUCCCAUGCUCCAAGCAUGUACACUAUGUUUUUUUUUCUAAACACUAGUCAUGCCAUACACCACGUAUGCAUACUAAGUUUGUCUAUGAUCUUUACUUUGUGAAAUAAAACAAUUGACCAAACUUUCAAUGAUUCUAUUUUCACACUCCCAAAUCCUUACUGCAAAUGCAAGAAUUCCAAAUUCAUGCCAUUUACUGAAAUCUGUUAGAUUCUAAACUUAUAUGCAUUGAUCCUCUUGUAAUGAUUAUGCACAAAGUCAUGAAGACUUGACAACAAACAUUAUAGAGCAUUCCAAAGGAGAUCAACUCCUUGGAAACAUCCUUCUUGCAUUAAGUUUCCUUAUCUUACAUAAAUUUAUUGAACAACUUCCACCUAUGGGAUGAUUUCCAUAUUCCCCUUUUGACUAUCUCUUCUGAACAAGAGUUGCCUCUUUUCAGAAUAUGUCAAUAUGGUCCUUCCAAAAAUUAACACUAUACUUCCAGCUGUCCCUGAGCAACCAGUCUUUGGUAAACCUUAGAUUGUCCUCGACAAGUGCUUAAUCCUUUUAGUCAUAUCCAAUUCUGGACCUUUUCCCUUCUUAAUGCCCCAAGCAUUUGGAAAAUUUUAGAAAGAAUGAAUAUAACACAUGUAAUCGAUCCUAUAUCUGAAGCAUAUGGGACACGAUUCAUGAUGUCUCACAUAAAGACUAAACCAAUAUUUUGCUAUAAUAUCUCCAUUUCAAUUUGCCAAGUUCUCGUAAUUCAGAUUAUGAAAAGGGAUGUCGUAAUCAUAAUCGAAUUUUAGAACGCAAAUAAUGGACCCGUAUACAGAAUUUUCUUAUGUUGAGCCAUUCCAACAUGAAAUUCAUAUAUAUCCUUGACUAAAUGAUUAAAACCUCACGAUCUAAGCUUAUAGAUUUGAGAUGAAGUAUAAUUUCCUCUCCCUUAAUUAUAGCAAAAAAACUUUUUCAACCCCUGCAGCCUCACGAAUUGAAACUUUUGUUUUCUAUAAUUAACAUUGCUAACUUGCAAUACUUAUCAUAAUUAUCAUGCUCCCACUAACAUGAUGAUUAUUAGCAUAACACUUAUGCUCCCGCUAGCUUUGACAUGUAUCCAGAAAACAACUAGACUUCUAGAGGUCAAUACUAGAUUGCUUUGAUAAGACUUUAUCAAAAUCAUACACCUUAUCUUAGAUAGCUCACAGGUGUGUCUAAACAAUUUCAAAACUAUGAAAAGGGAUGUCAUAAUCAUAGUAUCAAUUGUUUAGACCUUUGCUAUCUGCUUCAAAUCUACUUGGUGGAAGUGUUUCCUCACCAUCAUUUUCAUGAAUCGGAGAGAAACCUUACGACCCUUAGAUUUUAUGGUAUAUGUGUUCCUUUGCAUGUGAAUUUUUUUGUCAAAACCAUAAUCACAAGACAAGAUUAGGGACAAUUCCAAAUUUAUAUGGACUGAACUUGUGCAAUCUUGAAUUCUUGCCACCUGGCAGCUCAAGGGCCAGCCAUUGCUUCUAAGUUGAUAUGCAACCAAUUGAGAACUCUAAGAACUCAUAUGCAAAGCCAACUUUAACUGGAAUGUGCACAGAAAUAGAAAUAUGUCAACAUGAUAGGUUAUAAACCUCACGUCGUGUGCUAGUGUUAAACUACAUGUUUUUUUAUUCUUGAUUAGAUCUUGAAAUUCUUUUUAGGAUCUUUAAGACGCCCACUGUCCUCUUGACAUAUAAUACUAUGAGGGUGUUUGUUUUUUCUCCACAGAUCUGCGUGGGCUCUUUUGUCUACGUGGCGCAGACUGCGCAUAGACUUAAAGGUUUGUAGUGUGUUUGUUUUUUUGAAGUGCGCAGACAUAAAAACGUCCACGCGAGGUCUUCACCACACAGACUUGGGCCAACCUCUUCUAAAGUCCGCUAAAGUUGUAAACCUAAAAAAAGAACGCGUCCUUUUCUAUCCGCCUCCUUCGUCAAAUCGUCCCACCUAGUCCCGACAGAAUCUUCUCCAUCGUUAAUCUGGUCGAAAAUCACCUCCGAUCAGCACGUACGAUCAGCACCCCCGUCGCCACCCUCCUCUUCGAUCGAAGGCGUCCAGCGACCCGACGACAUCUCUACCUGUUGACAGUCGCGAUCAAGGCCACCAGCGAACAGGUUUGACAAUGCCUUACGUUUUUUUUCCGGUUCCAACAUGAAAUUGAACAUUAAUCUUGCUGGGAAAACUCUUUAAUGCACUGAAAAUCUUGUUUCUUGGUUCAAUUUCUUGUUAAUUGUUUCUUGCUUCAAAUUCUUGUUUCUUGCCUUGCGUUUUUUUUCCUGUUCCAAUAUGAAAUUGAACAUUAAUCUUGCUGGGAAAACUCUUUAAUGCACUCAAAAUCUUGUUUCUUGCUUCAAAUUCUUGUUAAUUGUUUCUUGCCUCAAAUUCUUGUUAAUUGCUUAAUUUCUUGUUAACUGUUAUUGCUGGGAAAACUCUUUAUAGCCUAUUUUGCUUUUGCUAAAGAUCAAUAAUUAUGAAAAUUAAGAUUAAACCAAUGGAAAGAAAGUCUUGCCUUUUUUUUUCUUGUUUAUGUUCAGGUCAUCAAAAUAUUCACAAGGCCAAAAGGUUGAAAAUCACACUUUAAUCUAAAAAUUCAUAAGGCCAAAAGGUUGAAAAUAGUAGAAAUAAUGUUGUGAAUGCUAUGAAUGUAGUGUUAAAAAUAUGAAAUAAUGAUGUGAAUGUUUUAAUUUUGUUGAAAAUACUUUUUAUUAUCUCAAAUUGUUGCUGAAUGUUACUUGUUGAUUAUUUAUUGUUAUGCAAUACCUUAUGAAAUUAUAUUUCUCAAUUUGUGAAUGCUACAAUACCUUUUAAAUUAUUAUUGUCUAUGAUAUAUUGCUUGUUAGAAAUGGGAGAAAAACAACAAUGGACCAAUGAGCUUUUAAAAUGAUUAUUGGAUACUUGUAUUGAAGAAGUAGAGAGUGUCGGUAGAAAAGGAUUGAGUUUGCAGAAAGACUCAUGGAUAAGGCUUGGAAGAGUUCUUAAGGAGAAAUUUGGGUUUGAGUUGAGUCAAAAACUAAUGAAAAAUGCAUAUGACAAUCUGAAAGCCAAAUACACAGGAUGGAUGUAUUUAAAAAACAAAACUGAUAAUAUAUACAACUCUCAAACAAAUACUUUUACCUUAACAGCCGAGGAGUUGAAUGAUUUUAAAAAGGUAUAUAUAUAUAUAUAUAUAUANUAUAUAUAUAUAUAUAUAUAUAUAUAUAUUAAACAUUAAUGUUUGAAGUUGCCAAAUAUUCUUAUAUUAUUUUUUGUUACAUUUGGGUUUAGGGGCACCCGAAGGCUGCUUCAUUGAGAACAAUUCCACUGCCUUUUCCAGAUCUUUGUGCACGUCUUUUUGAUGGAAAUAGUGCCCCUGGUAAUUUUAGGAGUUACUCAACCCAAUCAUCUUCGGUAGCUGGAGCAUCCUCUUGUCGUGUUCCACCACUCCAGAUUACCACCACCCCUUUUCAAGGAAUAGAUGAUGAUGGUGAUGACACUUCCUACCAUGAGCCACCACCUUCUGCUGGUUCACCUUCUGCAGCUUCACCUUCUGCUGCUUCACCAUAUACUGCUUCACCAUCUGGUAACCCCAACAAAAGGGCUAAACCCUCAACUCCUAUACCGCCUAGUGCCUCACCAUCUGCUUCUUCACCUAAUGGAACUUCUAUUACUUGUGACGAUUUAGCAUUAGAAAUGAAAAAAGCUCUACAAAGUUUGACUAAAGGGUAUACAAUCCCUGAAUGUUUAAAGAAGUUAGAGGUGCUUCAGUUAGGCCCUACAGAUCCUUUACGCUUUGUUGCAUAUCAUAUUUUUUGAGGGACGAUGAACAUGAGAGAGAUGUGGAUGUAUUUGCCCGAUGUUCCCGAGAUAUUACGAGGAUGGCUUGAGAUGACGUGUACAAGUUUAGGAGUUUUGAAGGAUGGAAAGAUUGCCCGCUGAUUUUUCUAGUGUUGAAACUAUUUGUUAGGUCUUUUUGCCUUUGUUGGAACUAUUUUGUUAGGUCUUUUUGCUUUUGUUGGAACUAUGUUUUGUUAUAUUGCUACUUGGAAUAUGGUUUAUCUAAUGUUUUUUUGGUACUUGCAUAUGAUUAGUGUAAUGUUUAUUUUCUACUUGGAAUAUGGUUUAUGUAAUUUUUUUUGCUACUUGAAAUAUGGUUUAUGUAAUGUUUUUUUUUGCUACUUGAAAUAUGAUUAAUGUAGUGUUUUUUAAAGUUCUACUUUGUUGAUUUUAGGUUCAUAAUGGAUCACGAUCAAAAGUUACUUCUCGUAAUUCUUAUGUACCUGUACAUCCAUUUUUUUGGAAGAGUGGUGUGAAACGAUUGCGGGAUAAUGAUUCGGAAAUGACAGGAAAUGAAUACACAUUGGAGUUGUUACAUCGUAAUCGUUUACAAUGUGUUGAAAUACUAUGCAUGUCCCGUGAAGCUUUUGUACAGCUAUGUGCUCAAUUUAGAGCAAAUUACUCAUUAAAGGACAACAAACAUGUAUCGGUUGACGAAAAGAUGGCCAUGUUUUUGAUGAUGAUCGGCCAUAAUCAACGUUACGUGAUUAUCAAGCGGAGAUUUCAACACUCGAAGAAAAAAAUUCAUAAAUUUUUUUAUGAAGUGUUGGAAAAAAUGAUGCUUUUCGCACAAGAUGUUAUAGUACCAACUUCUUUUAAUCUGAAUCCAAACAUUCCAGGACAUAAUAGGAGGCUACGACGGGUUUUCAAAUGGGCAGUUGGUGCACUUGAUGACACUUUGAUACAUGCGGUUGUCCCUGUUAAGAAAAAAUACUUAUAUAGAAGUAGGGGAAAGGGAGAUUGCUACCAAAACAUAUUGGCAAUUUGUGACUUCAAUAUGAUUUUCACAUUUGUUGUGGCCGGGUGGGAAGGGGGAGCGCAUGACUCUAGAAUAUUAUCAGAAGCAAUAACCGAUCCACAAUCAUCAUUCCCGUUUCCACCACCCGGUAAGCUUUUGUUUUUUUUAAAUACUCUUAUCUUAGUUUGAAAAUUGAUUAGUGUUUUGCAUUUUUUACAGACAAGUAUUAUCUUUGUGAUGCCGUGUAUGCACACACUCGAGGAUUUAUGUCUCCUUAUCGUAAUGUGGGGUAUUGGCUUGGAGAUUUUCGUCAAAGACGUGCAUUGACCAAUAAGGAAAAAUUUAAUCAUGGACAUGCAAAACUUCGAAAUGUCAUUGAGUGUGCUUUUGGUGUUUUGAAAGCACACUUCCCUAUAUUGAAAAGGAUGGAAUCAUUCCAGUUUGUGACACAAAGAAACAUUACCAUGGCAUGUUUCGCGCUUCAUAAUUUUAUAAGGAGAGAAGGAAUGAGUGAUGAGUAUUUUGCACGAUACGAUGAACCCAAUGUCUCGUUUCAAAAUAACAAUGUGGGCGUUGAUGAUGAUGAAGACGGGAUUCCAACACAUGGUACUUGUGACAACCCAAAAAUUUCCAUUAGUUUUAACGUCGAAAUUAACAUCGAAAUUAAUUACGUCAAAAAUUAGCCAAAUUUAUCCCGAAAAUAUUUUUGACCGGAUUUAAAACCGUUGGAGUAUUUUAAUUAAUAUUCGUCAAGCGAAAAUAAAAACACAUAAAUUAUCUUUCCAUUUAUUUGGAAAAAGUUUAUUUUUAUUUACGGCCAUUUAACCGGGUAAAAUUUUAAACCUCGUUAAACAUAAGUAUCGGGUAGUCGUAUACCGGGUACAACACCCAAGCCCUAUAUAAGGGUGGGUGGACACUCCUUAGAAGCCUUUUCCCCCCUUAGACUCUCUCUCUCUCUACAUUCUCUCUCUACAAACGGGUUUUGGUCAAAAAUCUCCCCUACGAGCUUCAAAUCAGUAAGUUAACCUUCCUAGCUUGUCGUUUAUCUUAUCUAACUUGCAAAUUUGUGGCUUAAACACCCAAAACCCUCAAGAACAUGAUUUUACGGUCCAAGAACACCUUCAUGGACCGUAAACACUCAUAAUGGGGUUUUAAAGCUCAAAAACCCUUCCAAACCACUUCUCAUGUUUAGCAAUUGCUUAGAGGCUUACCCGAAAGGACUUAGAACACCAAAAUCGGACCAAAUGGGGAGUAAACAUGAGUUUACAAUCUAAGAACAUCCUUAGACCGUAAACCCAUAUGCAUGGACCAUAAACACUUGUUUAAGUGUUAAACUACCCCUCAAACACCUCCAAAAGCUUCCUUGGGUGCCUAGAGCCUUGUAAUCCUUCGUUUGAUGCACCAAAACAUAGGAUUCAUGGAAAAAAUGAGUUUACUACCAUAAACUCAUGUGUUUAAGGUAGUAAACUCCCCAUGAACAUAUUCUUAGACCGUAAACACCUUUCCAAGGUGUUUAAGUGCCCUAAACACCUUCCUAAGCUCCUAAAAGUGACUAGAACCUUACAUGCAUGAGUUAGAACCACCAAACAACAAAAGAAAUGGACCAACAUGAGUUUACUACCAUAAACUCAUGUGUUUAUGGUCAUAAACUCCUCAAGGAGUAGUCAUAGGCCGUAAACUCCUCAAAUGGUCCAUUUUGAAGCCUUAAACCCUUCAUAAGCCCUAGAAUUGAACCUAGCCUAAUUCCAUAAGUGUUAUAAGACCUUAAUGCAUCAAAGAACACACCACCCAUGAUUUUACGGCCGUAAACUCAUGAGGAUAAGGUCUUAGGGUCGUAAACUCUAUAAAGAGUUUACUCUUGAAGAUUAAACUCCCUAUCUAGGCUAUACAUACCCAUAGAUGUUACCCGGGACACCCCUAGCACUUAAUCAAAGUGUUUUCCGCACUUUAGGAUGCGUAUACGUGUUUAAUUAGUAUUAUAUUUACUAAUUGUAUGUAAACAUAUGUCAUCAUAUGUUAAUAGGUCACUAAGUGUGUUCAAGUCUUUACUUGACACCGAGCACCCAACCGGCACUUUCGUUCGAUCCGCUUACAACAAGUGAGUUCAUACCCCUGAAUUAACCUUUUAAAUGUUUUUACAUGCGUUUAUGGGGGGGAUACAAGUUAAAACAUGCCAGUUAUCAUAUCAAUCACAUGUGAUUGAUAACCCGCAUGUACAAGGAUUCAUUACACUGUCAACUGGUUUACAAAGUAUGAUACUGUAAAUGGUUUUCCAAAACGUCUUUACUUGUCCAAAACGUUUCUCAAAUUGUCUCUCGCGUUGUAUGUUUUACUCUAGAUUCAGCUACAGCAGUAUUUUAAACAAAGGAUUUCUUUACCUAUAAUGUUUUAUCAAAGUUUCAUUUAAAACUUGUUUAUGAAAGGUUUUCAAAGGAUUUCUAAAGGUUUUCAAACUUAUUUUACAAAAGGUUACCAAGUCGUGAUUUUCUUAAGUAUAAAGGUUUUCCAAAGUUUUCAUCGAAGCUUUCUUCCAUGUUUUAUACUCCUACUUUGUUAGAUAUUACUGCUUCAUUAUACUUCUAGUUAGUUAAUGCUCCUACCUAGUUAAAUGCUAUUACUUUGUUAACGCUUUUACUUUGCGAUAUGCUCCUACUUCGUGAUACGCUUCUACUUCUACUUCGUGAAACACUUCUACUUCGAUAAACACUUCAACUUCGUUAAAUGCUUUUACUUAGUUAAAUGUAUGCCUNAUGUUGCUACUUAGUUAAAUGUAUGUCUGUACUUGUAUAGUUAUAUAAAUAAUGUUUAAAGGACUUAGGAAGGCUAGUUCGCCCUAUUUCCUUUUCCUCGUUUGGAUGUGGUCUGGUGUGAUCGGAUAUCUGUCUGAAGGUCAUUUGAUCAUUAAUUAUAUAUUAUGUAUACAUGUAUAGACAUAUAGGUUUACAUCGAUCGGUCAGUUUAUUUGUGAGUCUCUAUCAUUAGCCCAGUAAUUACAUCAGAACUCACUAUACGAGAUGCAUCUUCAGGACACGGCCUUCUCCGUUGUCAAGUUGGUAACCAGAGUCUCCUGUAGGGAGAUCGGGCAUUGUGUGUAUAGAUCUAUACGGGAUUGACACCCCCACACCCUGACUGCUAGCUACAGUCCACGGCCUACCAAGCCAAGGGGUGACAAAUGUCACAUUCUUUUCGACGCUUGCAGGGCAUCAAGUUCUCUAGUGUCUAUUAGUAUGGUUACGAGUAUCUCAGGGUUACCUUAUAAUUCAUGGCCUUAAGGUAACGAGAAUUAACACUGUAUUCACUGUUUUUAGACCUUUCUAGACGUAUCAUUCAAUUCAUACUAUCUGGGGUCCGUGUUCACUAUUUUUAGACCUUGCUAGACGUAUCAUUCAUUUGAUGGUGUCUGGGGUCUGUAUUCACUGUUUUUAGACCUUGCUAGACGUAUCAUUCAUUUGAUACUAUCUGGAGGUCUGUAUUCACUGUUUUUAGACCUUGCUAGACGUAUCAUUCAUUUGAUACUGUCUGGGGUCUGUGUCUCCUUUCGUUAGACUGAGCCAGGCGUGUCGUUCAUUCGAUACUCUCCUGGAGUCUAUGAUUUCUUUUGCCUUAGUCAACAGUAUUUCUUGCUGAUGCAUAUGUUAUUUUCCCUAAUGUUUUUACUUGUGAUAUCCUUCUACUUUCUUUAAAGUCAAAUACCGUAUUUUGGUAAUAAUAACAUUUCAGGGAAAUUCUCUUUAAAACAUAACACUAUCGGGUCUUGGUAGAAGACUGCUUUUAUUUAGAAAAUAUAGGAUUUUCUGGAAAGAACUCUAAUACACCGUUGUUUCUAAACUACUACUUUUAUAAAGUUAUUUGAAUAAAACGACACUAAAUACUUAUGAACUCACCAACAUUUAUAAAAAUGCUGAUACUCGCUUUCAAUUAACUUGUAUUCUCAGGUCAGCAAUAGACAGGUACAUCCCAGGAGCUUUUGGUGAAGACAGUUUAGUACCAAGCUGCAUCUAUAUUAUUACUUGUAUUACUUUGAUGUUUUUUAUGUAACGUAAACCAUGUAAAACUAUUACUAUUAAUGCAAUGGUUGUUGUACUUUGAUUACUAUACUGCAUAUGUUGUGAUACUUGACAUGACGUCAUCCACCCCAGAACGUUUUCGCCAUUCCGGUUUUGGGGUGUGACAAUACUACAGCAGACCGUGAAUAUAUGACUCAGUUACGGGAUGAAAUUGCUGAUUAGUCAAUGCACAAUAUAGAUUGAAUUGUUUUAAAUGAAAUUGUUAUUGUAAAACCAAUUUUUUUUUAUUGUAUGACUAAUUUAGAUGCAUGAAUUUUAUUUUCAUUGUUAUAAGACUAUUAUUAUUAAAAUGUUGGUGUUGGAAAACAAUCAGUCUUCUUAUUGCAGACUGCAGACGUUUGGUCCACCUCUUCUGCUGCAGAGGCUUGCAGAUGUGGUCUGCAGACUGCAAACAUUUUGGCUUCAGAAAAACAAACAACACCUAUCUUGCCAAAUAAACAAGAGAUAGUGCGGAUUCUUUAUCAAAACAAACACUUCACACAAUAGGCCUAAGUUGGUCUUUGUUUUAUCCAAAACAUCACAACUUACCAAUUUCAAAUGUACAAGAGUAGGACACUUUUACUCUUACAUUUGACAAGUGUUUUAAACCUUUCUUUAAGAUAUGUCACUCAACUUACAGUCAUGGAGUAUGACUCUAAGAAUUGUUUUGGAACGAUGUAUGAAUCAUCUUCUUGAUUUAACCACUUCAAAAAUUCAUAACUCCUCUUCUUAGCUAUCAGAAUGCACUUAGAGGAUGAAUUGUGAUAAGGUCUCUUAAUCAUUAAGUUGAUCAUAUAUACAUGAUACUAAAGUACUCUCCCAUCUUUUCAGAUUUGAGAAACUUUUAUCCUUCUGCCUAAUUUGAUUCUUCUUAUUCGCUCUGCCAUACACUGAAAUUUUUUUCAAUGCUUCAGAAUUAUACUUAAGUCUGUAAGUAUAACCAUAUUUACUAAACUUUAGUAAAUCAUGACGAAUAGUCUUAUCGAUCUUUUGUGGUGGACUUGAUCAGGCACAAGAAUGUGUACUCGAUCCCUUAGGCCUUCACUUGACUCACAUAUACAUGUAAACGAGGAACUAGUCUUAAUUUUCCAAAGCUGAAAGUUCUCAUUCAUCGUAAUGUACAACUUGUAUGAUUCCAAGUUUCUAUCCAAUUGGAAACUUCUGUGAUGAGAAUAUUUCCUUAUUUGGUAAAUUUAGACACUAACACAAAUGAAAGAAUCAAAUUCAUAUUUCCACUCUUGCUAUUAAUGGAAUCAUAUAAGAAACAAUUUUUCGCAAAUGCCAUUUUAAGGAUAUCAUAAAAUAAAUAAAAACAAAAAUUUUCCUUUUAUUUUAAAACUUUGCGGAAAAACUUAUCCUUACAGUGCAAAAGCAUAUGAAAAACUUUUUGUUAUUUAUUCCUAAGCAAUAUAUCAUAACUCCUAAGCAACAGCUCAAAAUUCUGAUCACCGAACCAUGCGAUCGAAAUCCAUCUUCGUGAUCAGAAUCAACAUAUACUUCCUUUAGGUUUUUGUAAUUUUCUUUGAUUCUUAAAACAUCAACAUGUAACCCAGUCACAUCAUGUAACAAGAAUCUCAGAAUAGAAACUUAACAAAGUUAGAUAGUGGACUUUACCUGAAGUAGAGUCAAUCUUCUUGAGUUGAUCAACCUUAUGAUCUUUCAGGUAAAUAGGCUGCUUCGCAAUCAACGCCUCUUCCUUUGGCAAGAGAAACAUAGGGACUCUUUGGGAAUGGUACAUGGGACUAUCGCAGACUAGCCUUUCUCUUUACCAUUUGGUUAACCUAGUUAACUAUGGUCAAUCCAUGGGUUUGUUUCAACCCCUACAAGUCUGUUUCAACCAAAUGGGAAUGUUUCAACCCAACAAGUAUGUUUCAACCGAAUAGGUUUGUUUCAACCUGAUAGGUCUAUUUCAACCGAAUGGGUCUAUUUCAACCUAACAAUUCUAUUUUAAACUAACUGGUCUAUUCAACCCAACAGGUCUAUUUCAAUCGAAUAAAGCAUGUAAGCAUACAACAACAAGCAAGACCCUACCAGUCAAGUUAAGCAUACAAUCAUGGCAUAUAAGCUAUGACAUAAGUAAUAAUGUGAAAACUCACCUUACAGAUAGACCAUAUAAUCGCCAUAACAUGAAGAUAAUAAUUGACUGAUCUCACGCACCACCUAGACAUUAAAUCCUAGGUCCAUCUCGACUAUGAGCUAAAAGCCUAAAGUUUGACCAAAAGUCAAACUAGUCAAAAUUCAACGGUUAAUGGUUAAAGUCAAUAGUCAGGCCACCGUGUCAUGGCCAUAUCAUAGUCGCGUCGUGGUCACUCGAAAACAAAACUAUCGCAAGACUUCUCAACCCACCUUCGCCACAAUUUGACGUCCAAACAACUUAAUCUGUUAAACUCUCAACCCUUAUUUCCAGAGCUCCACAUCUUAGAUCUGGAUCAACUUACGCCAUGCAUAAAUAAAGUUUCCAAUUUUAUCCAUUCCUUAACCUCUAGAGACCUACAUCUCAAACCCUAACAGUAAAGGGACCAAAAUGACUCAAAAGGUUCAUGCAUGGUUGGGCUGAGUGCAAGUACUUAAUAUUAUGGAACCCUAAUGUCGAGAAACUAUCAAAAAUGUAAACCAAGGCCUUGAAGUUGAUCAAAACUCAAGUAUUCUCCUUUAAAUACCAUAAAGGAACAUCUAAUCCUGCAUAACAACUCAAUAAGAAGAAAAGGCAUGAACUUUACACCUUUAGGGCCUUGGAAAUGCUUGGAAUAUCGCUCUCUACCAGCAACAACUCUAUUGACAAGGAAUGAUCACCUUCUUCUUCUUCUUCUUCUUCUUCUUCUUCUUCUUCUUCUUCUUCUUCUUCUUCUUCUUCUCCUAAAGCCCUCAAGAACUUGAAACACCAAGAAACACACACUAAAACACCAAGAACACACUAACUUAAGUUUCACGUUGGAGGAUGGAGGUUAAGAAUGAGCUCAAACCAUAAUCAUAAGGUUGCUUAAAUAGGGUUCAAGGCCCAAAACCUAGGGUUGUGAGCCUAGCCAGCACCGUGCCACGGUGAGAUCCUGACCGCCCUGCCAUUAUCGACAUGUCCCAUGGCAUGACCCAUACCUUAUCGUGUCGUGGUGUCAGGUAAAUCCCAAAAUUCUCAACUUAUAAAAUAAAAGACUUGUACAUGGAAAUGCGAAUGUUACACACCAAUAUUUAUUGGAUGUCUACUUCACUUCCUUAAAAAGGGUAUAAAUUACAUGUAAUUUUCGAUUUUGAUGGGGUCAAAUCUACCAAAAAAAUCUUUAAUGACAAAUUAAAACCAAAUCCAAAAUUUUCAUGUGUUUUCGUUUCAAUAACCCUAUGAAAUAUAGAAUUACAUAACAAGUAUCGGUCUUUUUCUAAGUUUGUUGUUCUUAUUUGCUAGGAGUUUAGAAUUUUUUUGAUUUAUAUAAGAGCAGUAUAUCGUAAUAUAUAUUUUUAUCUAAAAAUUGGUACAUUAUCGAUUUCGUAUAUAAUAAGCCUAUCCUUUUCCUAGAUUGUUGAUUCGAAUAUUUUCAUAACAAAUGGUAUAGAUAUAUCUUGCAUGACAACUAAUUAUCUUUUACCGUCCUCAUAUAUUGAUUUUAAUAACUUUGUAAGCCCUUCUUAUUACCGAUUUUAUAUAUAAGAAGUCUAGUGCUCCUCCAUAGGGUUUCAUCCACAUUUUGUGUUCUUGGUGAUCUUGUGUAAAUUGGAUAACACUAUAAUAUAUAAUGGAAGAAGUAUCACUUUCAUUUGGAAAACUUUCAAUAUAACAAAAACCAUCAUACUUAGGAACAUACAACAUUUUUAUGACCUCCAAAAUUAGAGUGUGAUGUAUAUUCACGGAUAGUCCAUACUGCAUAGAACACAAUGAAAAAAAAUUACCAUGAACACACUUCGUAUCAAAGUGUUAUGAAGAUUAAAAGUUUGUUCAUUUUUCAUAUUUUUCAAUGAAACCUAAUUUGGAUCUAAAAAUGUCAUGUCAUCCAAAUUUGAAGUAAGAUAUUUCCAUAGAUAACCCUUAAUAAAUAGAAUGCGAUGAAAAAAAACACGCCAAAUGAAGUUUGUAUAAAAUAGUUAUGAAAAUUCAAAAUUAGAAAGAAAACUACACAUUCGCAAGCAUAAUCUUUUAGAAAAAAAAUAAAACAAAAAAAAUAUAAUAAAAGUUAGAUAUCGUAAAGGUAAUCUGCAAUCUAUCUAGACAAUAUUUGGUUUUCAAAAACAAAAAUUUAACAAGACAAUACUUGCUUUUAAACUUACAUCAUUUUUGCAGUCAAAUGAGACUGUUUGCCCGUUAACUCCCACUUUUUCACAGAUGAUGUCACUUUUAGCAGAUGAUGUCAUUUUAACAUAUCGUAAUACGUGAAAAUUAUGGUUAUUUCGUCAUUUUUCAUAUUUCUAGCUAUUCCAUGGUAAAAUGUUUUAAAAAAUGACCAUUACGACCACUUUCUCAUAAUAACAUUAAAAAUUUCAAAAUUAAUUCAUCUAUUAUAUAUAUAUAUAUAUNNNNNNNNNNNNNNNNNNNNNNNNNNNNNNNNNNNNNNNNNNNNNNNNNNNNNNNNNNNNNNNNNNNNNNNNNNNNNNNNNNNNNNNNNNNNNNNNNNNNNNNNNNNNNNNNNNNNNNNNNNNNNNNNNNNNNNNNNNNNNNNNNNNNNNNNNNNNNNNNNNNNNNNNNNNNNNNNNNNNNNNNNNNNNNNNNNNNNNNNNNNNNNNNNNNNNNNNNNNNNNNNNNNNNNNNNNNNNNNNNNNNNNNNNNNNNNNNNNNNNNNNNNNNNNNNNNNNNNNNNNNNNNNNNNNNNNNNNNNNNNNNNNNNNNNNNNNNNNNNNNNNNNNNNNNNNNNNNNNCUAAAAGGUUGAGAACGCGAGAAUAGAUCUAGACCAUCUAAUUUUUAAGAUGUAUGGCUAUAAUUAAUUGUUAUUUUUCUAAGUAUUAAUACAUUUAAAAUUUAAUUUUUAAAUUAAAGAAAAUUAUAAAGGGUAUUAAGGUAAACAAACAUUACCCUAAUUUUGUAAACUCCUAUAAUUACUCUCUGCCUCUCUAUUUCGUUGACCUAAUAUCAUCAUCGAACCUUGUCAUCACCAAAACCCUCCAAGGCGUCACUUGACGGGACCAGAGAAAACAAAGAAUCGAAAGCAACAAGGUCAAUGAAAGACUUGGAAGGAAGUGAAGACAGUCGGCGACGUCUGUGGUCAGCUGUCGUGAUCACGAGGGGAGCGUCUCCAGGGUCGACGAGGCUGAAGAGGAGGAAAGGAGGAGGCAGCGAGGGGUGGGUCGUCGAUCUCGGUGGAUGCAACAAUAUGAUCGAGGGUUGAAGAUGGGGCACCUUUGGUGCUUGGCUGGAUUGAAGAGAAGAAGAAAAGAGAAUGGAAGUAGCGGGAUGUGGGGUUUGAUAUUGGUUUCCGGUGACAAAGCCCCGACAUUGGGUUAUUUGGUGAUCGAGAAAGGCAGCAACGGUUCAACAACAUGUAAGGGUUCCUUCUUUUUUUUUCUUCUUGUUUGAUUUGGUAGAACUCAAUAGGCUCAAGUGGAUGUUUGUUUGAUUCUCUUUUUUUUGUUCUAUUUUGACUAAAAUUUGUGGAGUUUGAGGUGGGUUUUGGGUUUGCUUUUUAACAGAAAUUGAUGAGCUUAAUCAAUAGAUUUUGGUGGUGUUUUGUUGCAUGAAAUAAAUAGGAAGAAGAUGAAGAACGGCGGUGUUUGGCUUGCUUGUUCAACGGAAAAUAGAAGGAUAAAGAUGUUUGUGGCGGUGACAGUCCAAGGAUGGUGGUGGCAAUCCUUCUACCGUCCAUUGUUUAUCCAGUGAUCCAAUGGCAAGAUUUAUGAAUACGACAACGACAGUAAAGGGAGUGACGGGAAUGAAGCCUUCAAUCCACCUUGGGCUACGAUGAAUUGAACAGUACCGAUUCACUCAUGACGUCGCUGUAGUCGAUUGACAAUAAAAAACGGAUCAUGAAUGGGGGUGGUGAAUGGUUGUAUUUAUUUAUGAAUAACACGUGUAUUAAUUUAUGAAUAAUAGUGUAGUUAUGUGUGAAUGGUUGUAUUUAUUUAUUAAUAGUAAUGUAUUCAUGUGAAUGAGUAUAUUUAUUUAUGAUUAGAUGUAUUCAUUAUAUGAUAGAAUGUGUAUUAAUUUAUAAAUAACAGUGUAUUCAUUUAUGAAUUGCAAUGUAUUCAUGUGAGAAUGAUUGUAUUUAUUUAUGAAUAGUAGUGUAUUCAUGUUAAUGAGUGUAUUUAUUUAUGAUUAGAGGUAUUUCAUUUUAUGAAGAAAUGAUAAUUUUUACACUAUUUUUAUUUUCAAUUGAUGAAAAAUGCAUUGAAUUAUUUGUGAUUUGAAGUGUUUUCAUUUAUGAUUGGAAGUGUAUUGAUUUGGGAUUUGAUUUCUAUUCAUUUUUUUUUUUAAAAACAAAAACGUGAAAUAGUAUAAAAUAAUAAUUUUUUUAAGAUUUUCUUUUCAGAUUUAAAAUAAAAGGAAAUAUUAAUUUUUUAGGUAAUUUUUUUGAAGCGGUCAUAAAUUAUUUUUGGGAAAAAUUAUAAAAAAAUAUUUAUAUAUAUUUCAUUAACUAAAAGGAAAUAUUAAUUUUUUUAGGUAAUUAAAAUCAUUAUCCCUAGAUUUUAGGAAAUCAUUAAUUAAUAUUUAUAUAAAGCUACUAAUAAACACUUAUAAAAUGAUUGGUCUAGAAUUUUUCUCGCGUUCUCAACCUUUUAGGUGUUCUCAUUUGAUCAUCUCCCUAUAAUGUUGAUAAUGCGAUAAUGAAUCUAAGCACACAUUUAUUUAUAGCCNNNNNNNNNNNNNNNNNNNNNNNNNNNNNNNNNNNNNNNNNNNNNNNNNNNNNNNNNNNNUAUAUAUAUAUAUAUAUUAUGUAGAAACAUCAUCACGUUUACUCUCAUCCUCCACUACGACCUCUACCACGCCAUCACCACCACCGCCGCUUUUUCCACCAUAUUUAAAAUCACCUUGGUCAUUAUAAUGUCCUAGAUUUCAAACCAACAUUUUUAUUAAAAAUAGAUUGGAGAUUUAAAACCAUAUUAAAAAAAAACAUAAUGUAUCAUUCAAUUAUUUGAAAACCAAAAGGUUAAAUAGAGUUAAAUUUCAAAACAUCGAACCCCAAACAGCUUUGACAUGAGUGUAUAGGCACGCCACACCCUUCUAGGAACAAUCUAAAAACAUUAAAUUCAUAACUGUAAGCAUGAAAAUUAGUGAGUUUCCCAAUAUACCACAUAUUGCAUCAUACAUGAAAUGUAUACAAGAAAUAAUAGCCCCAACCCAACGGUUCCAAAACAGAUGUGAGACAUGUGAACCACUGUGUAACAAAGAAUAAGCCAGCGCACCGUUGUGAACGAAAUUAACAACUUAUUAAAAUAAAUUCUUAACAGCUAGUUCUAGAUUCUCAAGACUUUGAUCUAGAUUCAAAUGAUGUCUUAAUGGAUAAAGUUUCCAAGUUUAUCCAUUAAAACAUCCCAAAACAAGUAGAUCUAAAACCCUAGUUUCUUAAAAGUCCAAAAUCCCACUUUCUUCAUGUAUGGAGUAAAGAGAGCCCUUCCAUGCACUAUCUACUCCAUCAACACAACAGAUCUUAAGUAGAACACCACCUAAAGAUCAUGGAGUUUACAAAACUCUGUAGAUCAAACCAUCUAAGGGACCAAAACAUCAAAUAAAGCACUAAAACUCCAAAUACUCUUAGAUCCAAAGGCAAAAUACCAAAAAACAAUGACUUUGUGACUUACAAAGGUAUAGAAAGUGAAUGAGGGUUGAGUUAUAUUUGCAUAUUUAUUCAUAUAUUUUCUGUAUUAUCUUAAUGUUUUUAGCUACAAUUGUGUUUAGUUUAGGACAAAUGGUACUUAAUAUGUUUAAGAUAUGUUUUGUAGGAACGAAGACAUGAUUGGGAUUAAAAGGAAGCAAAGUAUGGAGUUGCAUGCAGGAAAAAUUGGACCAAAUGAAACAAACUCAAAGAACUCAAGAAUUCUGAUGCCCACGGCAUAGAGAUCUAUGUCCAUGCUAUGGUGAAUCGAUGAUUCGCGAUCAGAUAAGUAGACUUGGGGAAUACGUGUUAUUAAAAGUCGCCAUGUCGUCGGGCCUAUCUGCCAUGACCUAGGAGCCAGUUUUUGGAAACUAUAAAUACUUUGGUUUUCCAUCAACUCUACCUUAUGCUUCAAGUUGUUUUUGAAUUUUGGAGACCAAACACAUGUUGGAAGAUUGGGAGAGAAUUGAUUCCGAUCGAAGUUUAGUUUUGAAGAGAUUUUAAGGCAACAUUACUUCUAAACAUUUGUUUAAUUUGUUUUUCAUUAUGCUUUUCAAGGUGAAAUUCAUUUUUGAUUGAUUGUUUCCAGUACUUAUGGGCUAAAACCCCUAACUUCUGUUUAGAGUAGAGGAUCAUUGUGACUAUGUGUUGAAUUAUUGGAUCUUAGAUUGUUACUAGUUGCUUAUUUGUUAUGAUAGCUUGUUAAAGACCAUUUUGUAUUAAUGAUAACUACUUUUUCUUUUUAUUGUUGAGUUUUACUGAAAUUAUAUGAUCAUUCUGUUUUGGUGGGCUUGUAUCUUAUGAAUUUGUGAUCAUCAAAGUUAUAAGACUAGUGUUUUGAUCAGAAAACGGGGGCCAAAUAGAAAAGUGGGUAAAUUAAUGUGGAAAAUAAUAUGUAAUGAUCAUUCAUGUAUUGAAUUGAUGUUAUUAUCCAUUAAUGUCAAUCAUUAGUUCAAGUAUAGCAAAAUUCAAACUUAAUAUUAAUAUACUUGUUUGUUUGUCCACCUGAUCAAUGAAUGAAUGAACUAGUUUUACUAAAGGAUUAGUCUUUUGAUUAUAAAUUCUAAUCAUCUUAGCAAUUGGUAAGCAACAAUUUAAUCCAAUGCACUUUCUAAGAAAUCAAUGAUAGCAGUAGUGUAAAUCGUAUCUAAACAUAAAUCUCUUUAAUAUCUUACUUUAAACCAUAAAUUAGAUUGUUUUUUAUUAGUUAACUUUUUUUUGGUGAUAAUUGCUUUUUAGUAUUAUGGACUCACAAAACUAGAGAAAAACUACUUAUUAUUUGUUUUUCAAUUAGUUAACUUUUAGUAGAAAAUUUAGCUAUUAAUCAUUCUUGUUCCCCUUGUGUUCGACACCCUACUUUCUUACUAUACCACUAUUCGAUUAGGUACACUAUCUAUCGCAUUUAGCUAGCUUAGAUUGUUUGGUUUUUAAAUUAAAGACUAGUAUAUAAAUUACGUAUCACUGAGAUCUUCUGGAACCAAUAUUCAAUGAUCAAUAUUGUAAGAAAUCAUCACACAAAAUCACCAAAAACCAACCAAAAAGUGUAUGUGUGUGUAUGUGAGAGAGAGAGAGAGAGAGAGAGAGAGAGAGCGAGAUAGAGAAACGAUCAACUAGAAAUGAGGAGGCUAGGGUUGGCUCCCUAGGAGCUCUUCAUGUGUCGGAGGCUGAAAAUUACCUAAUAACACAGAGCCAAGCCUUUAAAUAUGCUGCAACCCCUACUUUGAUGGGUUUGUGCUGCACAACUCACUAUGUCGCGGUGACGUGUUUUUACUCAUUUCAUUCUAACUUCAAACAAUCAUAACUUCUUCGUUUAAAAUCUAUAUCCUGCUAUCUUUAUUUGUAAGCUUUUCACAACACAUUUUAAAGCCGUGAGGGCAACAGAUCACAUAAGAACUCUAAAGUUAAGCGUGCUCGGGCGAGAACAACUCAAGGAUGGGUGACCCCAUGGGAAGUUUUCGUGCCAGGAGCCCAAAGCGUACGAUAUGGUGAUACGUGUCAGUGGGGGAUGUUACAAAAAGGUAUUAAAAAGCCCCACAAUUUUAUCUAAUUUGUAACGCCCCGUUCUAAAAGUAAUUAAUUAUGGAUUCCCGAGAUCAUGAGUAUGGUCGUUUAGGUAUUUUAUGGGCAAUGGGUUUCAUCCGAGAAGGUUUCGGGGCGGGAUGUGUUUCUAGGAGCGUAGGGCUUCUCGCCACCUCUACGUGGAUAUAAAGUUCGUCGGGAACGGAUCUAGAAUGAAGGAGUUAUGAUACUUUGAAGAUAUUGGCAAUUAUGACCCUUAUGGAAAAAAAAAUUGACAAGAAAGGGGUAUACAUACUUUUGGGACAAACGUGGCUAUGCCCAGCGUAAGCUGGGUUACGCCCAGCGUAGCAGGUUUUUGGAUCACAGAGGUGUGAGGCGUAUGCGCAACGUACGUGAAGGUACGCCCAACGUAUGCUAAAGUUCAUUAAACCCUAAUUUGGGUUGAGCCACUAUAUAUAGAACAUAAUGGCUUCAACCCUAGCCCCCAUAUCAGCUUCCCUAACCUCAGUAGAAACCCAAGAACGUUCCAACCUCCAUUUUUAGAGAUCUUGGCCUUGAAAAGCUCAUCUUGGUGGUUUUUAGAUUGGAAGAGAAAGGAAGAAGAUUGGGAAGGAGGAACCUUGGAAGCUAGAGCUUAUAGAUCUGGGACAAGUGUUUCAUUUCGGACCUCUUCAAGGUAAAAAGCUUUGAGCUUGAUGAAUAAUCUCUUAGAUCUCUCUUAGUACAAUUUUAUGGACUUUUUGGUCCCAAGAAUGCAUCAUUAUGACUCUAGCACGUUUCUAAGUCCAGGGUUGCCACCCUUAGUAUUAUAUGAGUCCCUUAUGCAAUAAAGUUUCAACCUUUAGGGCUCAUUUUUGAUCAUGUAUGAGAUCUAGACACCUUUAUGGAAGUAUGAUAUUAUAUUUCAAGUUUGGGUUCUUUUGGUGGGUUGCAAGCCACCAAGUAGUCGACUUUAUAGCUUAAGACAUCUUAAUGGACUUGGAUCUGUAAUUAUAGCACCCGGGUUGAGGUGUUAAGCAUUUAAUGAGGAAAUGAUUUAGCAGAGCACUACGCUGAGUGUACGUGCAGGUAUGCCCAACGUACCAUCAUCGAGACUGUACGCUAAGCGUACAUUGAAUUACGCCCCGCGUAACCCUCUCUGUUGGAUCAUGAGUUUUAGGGCCGUGGUUUGGGGCAUGUUUGGGUAUUUGGGCCUUAGUGGACCCAUAGAAAUCAUAUUAUAUGGGCCAAGGAAUAUAAUUUGGGCUUAGGGUGAGGCCUAUUAAGGGAUUGGGCCUAAAAUAGCAACUUGGGCCAUUAAUGGGUCACUUGUGGGCUCGAGAAGCUUUUUUAGUGUUGGGCUUUUCAUGUUGUGGUUUUGGACCUUAGUCAUGGACCAGAUUGGGUUAAGGGUAAAAUGGUCAAUUUACCCUUGCAAGGAUAUUGUUUUGGGGCUAAGUGUUUUUGUGGCAUUGAUAGUUCGCGGCGUUAGAGGAGCAGCGGUGCGGGGAUUGUCAGAUAGCAGUCAGAAGGGUACCAGCAGUGUUUCAGCAGUUCAAGGUGAGUUCUCCUCACUGUAUCAACAGGGUCUACGGCACAAAGGUCGGCCCUUUAUGAUUUACAUCUUGGCUUAGAAUGGUUGCUAUGUUAUUGCUAUGCUAGAUUUCAUCCUGGUUUAGGAUGGCUGUUAUGUUAGAUUUCAUCCUGGUUUAGGAUGGUUGUUAUGGUAGAGAUCGGUUAGAUCGGUAUCCUGGUUAUAGGAUGGUUGCCAUGUUAGUGAUCUGUUAGAUCUGCAUGUUUACAUGUUAUAUGUAUAUGCACAUGUUGUUAAUUUAGGUUGGGUUAAGGUGGUGUCCUGCUUUGUGCGGUUGAGGCCAACAUACACGGGGCAGUCUGAAUAGGUUGUAGGCCCGUAGGAGGCGGUCCAGUCAUGCCGAAGGCCCGGCGAGCGGUCCGGAUAGGCUGUAGGCCCGUAGGAGACGGUCCAGUCAUGCCGAAGGCUCGGGAGCGGUCCAGAUAGGCUGUAGGCCCGUAGGGGGCGGUCCAGUCAUGCUGAAGGCUCAUUAUGUGUGUUGUCUGUAUUUGUUAUAUGAUUUGGUUAUACUUGUAUGGCGUUGGUAUUUUAGGGAAACUCCCUAAGCUUUGGGCUUACAGUUGUUGAUUUGUUUUAGGUACUUAUGAUGAUCGCAGGAAGGCGAAUGCAUGAUUGUGCACCUCCUCAUAUUUUCAUGAUUGAUUCUGGGGAUACUAUGAUGCUUAAACUAUUUUGAAAAUAAAUUGUAAUAACUUAAUGGCUUUAAAUGAUUUUGGAAUGGAUUAAAAUGUUUUAAAUUGGCUGGAAAUUUUUGGUCGUUACAAGUUGGUAUCAGAGCCUUGGUUUAAGUGAAUUGGAGGAACAUUCGUGUGAAUCCAGUCUCAAAUAAAGGAAAGGUUUUCAAAAUAAUUUUAAAUGGUUUUCAAGAUAAGUAAAAGAGGAUGCGAAGUGUACGAUCAGUCGGAGCCAGUAAGUAGACCCCAAAAUACCAUACAGUUAUUUGGCAUUAUGAUAUGUUAUAACAGCAUGCUAGUACUAGGCUAGCGAUCUUCAGGAAUUACAUGAUAGAAUUGCCUGAUUACAUGAUGCCUGCUAGCCUAGGGUUUUCUUUAUAUGAAAUUGACAUCAUUACUGUAGAUACUUGUGUAUGCAUCACGGUUAUACAUAAUUAAGAUCUUAUAGUCUGAGAAUGUUUGAUUUUGCCUUAUGUUCUAUUCUUGUCUGAUUGGCAGCUUAGGGUAGGAUUGGAUAUUCGAAAGUCUAUAGGGUCCAUCAUUAUGUAUGACCAGCAUACACUAGUGAUGCAGGGUUGGUGAAAGUUUCAUGGAUGGGUGGAUUGUGAGAGGCCAGGAGGCCAGUUAUGUGACCUUUAGCAUUCCUCUAGGAGUGAGGAUUGAGCGCUCGCUAUGUGUGUAUAUGUUUAGGGCGUUGUGGUGAUACUUGUGACAAAUAUAGGUAGGUGUGGAAGGUAGUAUGGACCCGUACUACUGAAAGCACAGGACCCAUACGUGUAUCAAGGAAGUCACAACCCCUGGGUUGUUGGUUAGAAGUUGGUUCCCGGGCUGUUAUGAGGAGUAUCUAUCGAUCUUUUGGUAUAUUGAAGUAUGGUGUUUACGACGCGCUUUGGUGCAGGAUCCGGUUCAGGAUCGGGAUCAGAAGAAGGUAGUCGGGAUGGAUCAGCACCACCUAAGGUUAUUGGUCAGAUGAGGACGGAUGAGUUGGAUGCCAGGAUUCGUGAUAUCCUACAUGAUGAGGUUGCGGCUAUGUUCCGAGCGGAGUUUCCAGAGUUUUUUGGGUCGAUCAAGACCGCCAUGGUUGAGUACUUCGAUGAGCGCUAUGCAGCUCUUGCAGAGACGGUUGCUGCAGCAGCGGCAGGGGGAGNCAGGCGGAGGAGCCGGUCGGGGCUUUCAGUAUCAGGACUUCGAUAAUACGAAGCGCCCUACUUUUGAUGGGAUUCAGGAUCUGAUUGUUGCUAUGAGAUGGUUGUCGGACGUGAAGGGAUGUUUCUUCACGUGUUCAUGCCCUGCUAAUCAGAAGGUGAGGUGUGCUCUGAACUUGCUAAGGCUCGGAGCAAAGGAUUGGUGGGAGUUGACUACGAGAUCAUAUUCUGAUACGCAACGAGCUGCGGUUACUUGGGAUCAGUUCCGAGACAUGUUCAGUACUUGUUAUGUUCCGCGGGUGGAGGGGGAGAGUUUAGCUUAGGAGUUUUUUUUUGAAUUGAAGCAGGAUUCGGAGUCGGUGACGGAGAUUACUAGGAAGUUUACGGAGAGGGCACUGUUUUGCCCUGAGUUUGUUUCGGAGAAGGCUCAGAUGACCUGAUAUCUGAGCAUGCUUAAGACAGAUAAUCGACAGUUUGUGUCUACGCAGAGAUGUGAUACCUUGUUUGAGUUGCAGUAGGCCACUAGGCGGUGCGAGUUAGAGAUCGAGCUGCAGUUGAGAGAGUAGAGGCAGGCCUCGAUGCAGUCACAACUUGCGCUGAAACAGAUGAGGGCCGCUGAUUAUCGACAAGGAGGUCAGAGGAGUCGCUCUUAUGGAAAGUGCGGCAAGGCACAUGAAGGAAGUUGUCGUUCUUCUUCUGGGUGCCACAAGUGUGGCAAGGAGGGCCACAUAGCCAGGGAUUGCAGGCAGCAGGCUCCAGCUGCCGGAGUUUGACUUUGUUAUCAUUAUAAUCAGGUGGGAUAUAUGAAGGCCCAGUGUUCUCUCUUGGCUGACAGGCCAGUGCAGGCCCCAACGCCAACCACUUUGAGACAUACUGAUGGGGGUCAGGGUCGAGUAGAGCCUCCAAAGGCUCCAGGGCAUGCUUAUCAGCUUGUGACCAAGGAGAUCGGGACAACACCAGAGGUGACAGCCGUGAAGAGUCAGUAUUGAGAAUUUAUAAAGGAGUAGCAUUCGUGGAUGUGUUCAAGAAAAAGGAAAGGUCGUGAUUCAAGAUUCAAAAUCGUCAGCAGAAACUCAGAUUCCUUGAAGGUCGAUGUUUUAGUUUGGGUCGAUUGAGCAGCAUGCUAGCUUGCCGCCAGUAGAUAGUGGUUAUUGCUCUAAGUGGGAGAGAAUUAGAAAUUCUCGGAUGGGACGUUUUUUUGUAGGAUGUCGCCUGACGCAGUUUGGAUGUCGGUUCGGGUGUGGUACGAUGAGGAGGUCCAACUUUGAUAAGGACAUUGUGUGUAUUAUGGAUUUUGAGCGAAUAUCGAGGAUGCUGCUAUGCGAUAGCAACCAGUGGGGAUUACUCCCAAGUGUUGGAAUAAUGAAGGAUAUACGAAGGGAUAUGUAUGGAUUGAUGAUUAUGUGGUUAGUCCUGGGUAUGUAUGCGCAUUAUAAGAUAGCGAUGUGCUCCAUCAGUGAGUGAUGUAUAGUGAGGAUAUGUCUCUACGACAAGGAAUAACAAUGCGAAAUUAUGGUUUAAGUCUCCUUGGAAGAGGAGAAGGUUAGUAGCUCCGGGUUUGGAGGUAUGGACAGAGGAUCUAGAGAUAGCAGAUUUGAUAGAAUCGGGAGCAGUCUAGACCGAUGCUGAGGACCGUGUGAGGAUGUAUCAGUAGUAGAUUGUGGAUCUAGAGAUCGCAAUAGUAAUAUUCUCUGUCAUGGUACGUUUGGAGUAGACGUGAUGACAAGAUUUGGGUGAGUUGCAUUCGGUGGAGUCGAAUCAGAGUAGUUUUGAGGAAGCUGCUAGGUUGGAUCCUUGGGCUUCAAGUGUGAUUGCAGAACUUGAGGUAUGUGGGCAAUGGUAUGCAAAUCUAGGGUAUUCCAUCAUGCGUAUGAUCGGACCCUAUGAUUGAUUUGACCUGAUGUGUUUGCUAUUCCAACCCGAGGGUUGAUUGGGCCAAACAUGUGUAGGGAUGCGAGGGUAUUCCAUCCUAGGGAUGAACAGACCCGUCGUGGGCAUGCCUGGGGUUCCAGCCCGAGGCUAAUUAGACCAGAUAUGAGUGUUGGUUUCUGUAAGGGUACUGUUGUAUGCACAUUUGAGUAUGAGUUAAAUGAGAGCAAGUGUCGUCGACAGCAGAAUAGGACCCGUGGUUCUGUUUCGGGACGGAAGCUUAGGUUUCCAGGGAUGAGUGGUCCUUCUGAUAUCAAUGAGAAGAGGGCAGGUGAUGGAUAGUUUGGGCAGCCUGUCAGGGAGAGAGAUCCAAUCUAACUCUCUAAGUAAAGAGCAUUCUGGGGAUGUAGGAAUUUGAUGCUGCAUGAGAAUGAGUAAGUACCUCUUCGAGUAGGAGUUCCAGUGGGAUUGGCCUCCCUUGGUGAUCGUCACGCUUUAGGGUCGUGAAUGUGCCUUUUGGGAUUUUGGGUAGCCAGAGUUGGCAAUUGGCGAUUUCGAGGACGAAAUCAGAUUUAUGUGGGGGAGAAUUAUAAUGCCCCGUUCUAAAAAUAAUUAAUUAUGGAUUCCCGAUAUCAUUAGUAAGUUCGUUUCGGUCUUUUAUGGGCAAUGGGUUUCAUUCGAGAAGGUUUCGGAGUGGGAUGUGCUGCUAGGAGCAUAGGGCUUCUCGCCAGCUUUGCGUGGAUAUAAAGUUCGUCGGGAACGGAUCUAGAAUGAAGGAGUUAUGAUACUUUGAAGAUAUUGGCAACUAUGACCCUUAUGGACAAAAUUUAACGAGAAAGGGGCAUGCAUGCUUUAGGGACACGCAUGGCUACGCCCACCGUAACAGGUAUUUGGAUCGCGGAGGUGUGAGGCGUACACGCAACGUACGCUAAAGUUCAUUAAACCCGAAUUUGGGUUGAGCCACUAUAUAUACAACAUAAUGGCUUCAACCCUAGCCCCCAUAUCAGCCUCCCUAACCUCAGAAGAAACCAUAGAACAUUCCAACCUCCAUUUUUAGAGAUCUUGGCCUUGAAAAGCUCAUCUUGGCGGCUUUUAGCUUGGAAGAAAAAUGAAGAAGAUUGGGAAGGAGGAACCUUGGAAGCUAGAGCUUAUAGAUCUAGGACAAGUGUUUCAUUUCGGACCUCUUCAAGGUAAAAAGCUUUGAUCUUGAUGAAUAAUCUCUUAGAUCUCUCUUAGUACAAUUUUAUGGACUUUUUGGUCCCAAGAAUGCAUCAUUAUGACUCUAGCACGUUUCUAAGUCCAGGGUUACCACCCUUAGUAUUAUAUGAGUCCCUUAUGCAGUAAAGUUUCAACCUUUAGGGCUCAUUUGUGAUCAUAUAUGAGAUCUAGCCACCUUUAUGGAAGUAUGAUGUUAUAUUUCAAGUUUGGGUUCUUUUGGUGGGUUGCAAUCCACCAAGUAGCCGACUUUAUAGCUUAAGACAUCUUAAUGGACUUGGAUCUGUAAUUAUAGCACCCGGGUUGAGGUGUUAAGCAUUUAAUGAGGAAAUGAUUUAGCAGAGCACUACGCUGAGCGUACAUGCAGGUAUGCCCAGCGUACCAUCAUCGAGGCUGUACGCUAAGCGUACAUUUAAUUACGCCCCGCGUAACCCUCUCUGUUGGAUCAUGAGUUUUUGGACCGUGGUUUGGGGCAUGUUUGGGUAUUUGGGCCUUCGUGGACCCACAGAAAUCAUAUUAUAUGGGCCAAGGAAUAUAAUUUGGGCUUAGGGUGAGGCCUGUUAAGGGAUUGGGCCCAAAAUAGCAACUUGGGCCAUUAAUGGGUCACUUGUGGGCUCAAGAAGCUUUUUUAGGGUAGGGCUUUUCAUGUUGUGGUUUUGGACCUUAGUCAUGGACCAAAUUGGGUUAAGGGUAAAAUGGUCAAUUUACCCUUGCAAGGAUAUUGUUUUGGGGCUAAGUGUUUUUGUGGCAUUGAUAGUUCGAGGCGUUAGAGGAGCAGCGGUGCGGAGAUUGUUUUGGGGCUAAGUUGAGGCGGUGUCCUGCUUUGUGCGGUUGAGGCCAACAUACCCGGAGCGGUCCGGAUAGGCUGUAGGCCCGUAGGAGGUGGUCCGGUCAUGCUGAAGGCCCGAUGAGCGGUAUGGAUAGGCUGUAGGCUGGUAGGAGGCAAUCCAGUCAUUCCGAAGGCUCCGGAGCGGUCCAGAUAAGUUGUAGGCCCGUAGGAGGCGGUCUAGUCAUGCUGAAGGCUCAUUAUGCGUGCUGUCUGUAUUUGUUAUAUGAUAUGGUUAUACUUGUAUGGCGUUGGUAUUUUGGGGAAACUCACUAAGCUUCGGGCUUACAGUUGUUGAUUUUGUUUCAGGUACUUAUGAUGAUCGCGGGAAGACGAAGGCGUGAUCGUGCACCUCCUCAUAUUUUCAUGAUUUAUUCUGGGGAUACUCUGAUGCUUAAACUAUUUUGAAAAUAAAUUGUAAUAACUUAAUGGCUUUAAAGGAUUUUGGAAUGGAUUAAAAUUUUUUAAAUUGGCUGGAUAUUUUUGGUCUUUACAUAGUUAGUUUUCACUUAAUUUAUACAAACUUAAUCCAUUAAUACAUUCAAAAAGGUUUAAAAUAUCACUUUUCCCAUUCUACCAUUUUGUCUCCAAAGCAUAAAUUAAGGGCUUAAAUCACUUAACCAACAUUAAUAACAUAUAAUAAGGUCUAAACCUUAUUUCCAUGAAGCCUAAUACCUUUACUCUAUUAAAUUACAACUCACUAUCUCAAAAUUAGAAACAUCCUGACACUAGAUGUUACAGUCAUCAUCAUCGCCACCAGCACCUCCGUCUCUACAACCUUCAUCACCGUUGCCAUCACUACCUUUUCCACCGCCACCGCCACCGCUAUCAACACUUCCACCGCCACCGCCACUACCUCCAUAAUCAUAUAUGAGUGUUAGUUCGGGGCUUGAUAACGCGCGAGGUUCCUUGAUGAUUUGGAGCNNNNNNNNNNNNNNNNNNNNNNNNNNNNNNNNNNNNNNNNNNNNNNNNNNNNNNNNNNNNNNNNNNNNNNNNNNNNNNNUAUAUAUGUAGAUAUAUAUAUAUAUAUUUAUAUGUUUUUCAUGCUUUAAGAACACAUUUGAUCUACUCUAAUCAAUCUAGUUUCUUUUGCCGCAUGUUAUCUUUUCACGUAGUUGGAUAAUUGUCAUUUUUUUGGUUUUUUUUGAAUUAUUUACAUCUACUUGUCAUUUUGGUGUGUUUUUCAAUUUUAUUUAAAUGUUACCUAGUAACACUAAUUAUACUUAGACAAAACUACAAUAAAUGACCCUUGUGGUAUGCAUUUUUUCCGAGGUUUAGUCCAAAACUCGACUUUUUUGGAUCGACGGUCCAUUUGAGCAUGUUUGUAUGUGGUUUUUGUCCCUCAGAAAAUUGAAAAAAUUAAAAUGCCAUCCUGAUAUAUAUUUUUUAUAUUUUUAUGUUUAAUUUUAAAUUUUAUUAAUAAAUUUGGGGCCCACCUCUCUCUCUCUCUCUCUUAUCUGCUACCAAGUUUCAUACAAAUAUCUUCUCUCAUUUGAAGAGAUAAAAACAAACCCUGGAUCUCCCAAUCUAGAUUCAUAAACACAAAACCCAAAAAACACCAUCAGAAAUCGCUGACACAUUCACUGAAAUACACAAACUCAAAAACCGCUGUGUCGGUUUCACCAGAAAUGGAACACUGAAAGUUCAUAGUCUAAAAUAAGUAUGUGUGUGUGCUCAUCCACCGAAAUCAUCACAUGCUUCUUCUUUAUGGCUUAAUAGUGAACCAUCAGUAUCACUAGUUCUUAUCUACUUCCUAUGUUCUUCAUCUUGUCAUCAUAGACCCAAAACAUUUCAUCUCGUUUUCGUUCCACAACCCCAUCGAUACAACAUUGAACAGAGACAAUAUAUUUGCAGAUCUGGGUAUGGUGAUGUAUGUUCUUGAGUACCUUUCUCUCUCUUCAAAUGAAAAUGUAGUUAUGUGUGGGUGUGUGAAAUAGAAUAUGAAAGCUUCAUAUGUGUAUGUGCAGUCAAUUAAGGAAAACAAACAUAUGGGUGUGUAUUUCAAGAACAUGUUUAUGUCAAGGUGCUAUUGGGUGGAUCUGAACUCUCUUUCUUUUCUUUCCUCUAUUUAAGAACAAAAUCAAAAUUGAACAUGUAAGGUUGUGAAAAAGGGGUUGAAUUUGGUCAUAUGAUCUGGAAUUUUGUGUGUGUUUAUCAUAUCUAGAUACAACUUUUUAUGAAAGGGGGAAGAAGAUGAAGAACACAAACCGACGAUGGUCUUUGGUGGUAGCUUUAAUGGAGGGAGUGGCUGGUAAUUGAGAUGGGUUUGAGAGAGAGAGAGAGAGGGUGGGCCCUCUUUUAUCUUUUAAUUAUUAGAAUAAACAAAUAAGUAUUAGAUUUUAAAAAAAUGAAAGAAAAUUGGAAAAUAAAUACUUCAGGGGCAUUAUAGUUAUUUCAAAAUUCGGAGGCAUCAAAACCGCAGACAAACAUGCUCGAAAGGACUGCCGAUCCAAAACAAAGCGGGUUUGGACUGAACUUCAGAAAAAAAAUGUAGGGUCGAAAGUAGAUAGUGAGAGUCGAAAGUUGUAUAUUUCGUUAUGUGUCUGUAGGUGGCGAAAACUAAGCAUUAUCAAUAUGUUAUCUAUUUACAAGGCAUUAUAGUUUCGAUACUUCAUGUAUAGUCCUUGUAUUUUUUGUAUGUCUGUUGUACCCUAUAAAUAGGGUGAGUACUUAGGUCAGAAUAUCAGUUCGAACAUUCUCAUAUCACAUAUUGUACUCUCACUCUUGUACUCUUUAGAAGUGAAAUUGAGCCAAACAAAUUUUGUUUAGACCUGUGUGUGUUGUGUUACCUUUUCGUAAGAAAUUGAUUCAUUCAUCACUUUUAACAUGCUUCAAUUGGUAUGGGAGUGGGAUUCAUAUCAUCGAUUGAAGUUUUCUCGUAUUUUUCAUCUUUUUUCAUCUUUCUUUUUUAUUCAAAAUAUUCUGUAUAUUGAAAUAGAAAAUUGGUGUUAAUCGAUUGAGUUGUAUCGAUUUUGUAUUCUGUGUGUUAAAUCCAUUGAUGUUUGAUUGAUUUCUCUCAUUGAUUUCUAUUUGAUUUAAUAAUUUCUUUCUUCAAAACCGUACAUCAACGAUGAACUUCAAAUGGAAUACAAUGACGAAUUUCUCUCAUUCGCUUGGAUUUGCAACAAAAAUUUCGAUGUUGAUUCUAGAAUACUACAAAUAAUGGGCUGACAGAAUGGAGGAUUACUUGAACGGAAUUGAUGAAGAUCUGUUGAGGUCAAUAAAUAACGAUUCAUUUCUUAUAGAGAUGUUAAUUUAUAUUGAAACUGUUGCAACUGCUGAAGACAUGAUUACGCAAGGAAACAAGAUGAAAGGAAAUGACAAUAAGUGUUUGCGUGAAUUUUGUGGAGCACUUCCACCAGUAGUUUACAACUAUAUCUGUGGAUGUUCAAUUGCAAAGAAAAUUGGGGACACUCUAAAGGGGAAGUAUCAAGGUAAUGAGAAGAUGAAGAAGAGUGCAGUCACUCGAUGCUUUUUGGAUUUGGGUGGGUUCAAGCAGGAGGAAGGUGAAUCAAUCGAAUCAUAUUAUGAUCGAUUGAAUGAGCUAAUCUUCAAAUGUUCUCGUUAUGGAGUUACUCGUUUGAAACUGGAGUUCAAUAAUGUAACACCUGAUUCCCGGUACGCAUUUAAUUUAAAGCACUUCUGUAUUUUCUCUAGGAUUCGACGAGUUAGAGGCCCAACUCGUCGAGUAGGGUUGUGAUCCGCGGGCAUUUUAAGUGACCUACUGGACAAGUCGGGAGACUGACUCGGCGAGUAGGUGCUAUUUGAGGGAAACCCUAAAUCUAAAGGUUCACACCCUAUUUAAACGACUUAUUGCAUCCUCCAUUGUCCCUUAUGCUACCGGAACACAUCUUAUCGAUACCCUAGCCGCUUUGACUGAUCUAAGGCCAUUUUGGUGCUUUUGGGUGGUUGUGAAGCUUGGAAGGAAGGGGGAAGCUUAUGAAUUCGAGUUGGGGCUUGUAGAUCCAGAGAUCUUAUUCCAUCUUCAACUCUAUCAAGGUAAAUGCCUCCUGUUUUGGUCUUUCUUUUAAUUGUUCAUCUUUAGGGCUUAGAUUUUGGGUGCAUCUACGGCUUUCUAAGCCAUUUCCGGAUUUGUGAUGUGAUUCAUGGAGUUCUACUUUCAUAUCUGAGUUAUUGGAGUGGUCUCAUGGCAUAAAGGUGACAACUCUAUGACCAUGGGAGCCCUAUGCACAUUGUAGAGCACCUUUUAUGGAUUUUUGAGCUAAAAACCCCAUGCAUGUGCACCAAGUUUUGAACUUUACGUAUAAAAUGGACACUAGGGGGCUAGAUCCAUGGAUUUGGUGUGUUAAGACCCAUUACAUUGAGUGCCUGGUAAUGGUCAAGGAUGGACUCACCGAGUUGUUCUUGGGACUCGACGAGUCGAGGUGUAAUGACCACCAAAUCCUUUCUGCGAAUGGACCAGUUGUUAGGGAGGAAAGUCCCGUAGAUGUUUAGACACGAAAAAGGACCUGCGAAUCAUGGGAGUCGACGAGUGUAUGAACAGACUCGGCGGGUCCAAGGCAAUCUCCCAACCUUUGAAUAUGGACUCGACGAGUCAUAGUCUGGACAUGUUCUUAUGAGGGAGAUGAACUCGCCGAGUUGAAGGAAGAACUAUGCGAGUCGGAUCAAGAUAGUCACGAUAGUUUGUAGGAAGAAGAUCUUGUCGAGUUCUUGCUAGUCUCGAUGAGCGGAGUCGAGAUUGUAUCGGAUUAGUGGAGUGUGGACUCUGCGAGUUGGCGGGCCAACUCGGCGAGUCAGGUUAACUGGAUGUUGACUUUGACCAAGGUUGACCUUGUUUGGAUAUGGUAUUGACUCUGGUUAGGGUCAUAUGUUCUGUUUGAUGACUUGAGUAUUUUCGUGUAGGGAUUGAGGAGUCAAGGGGAGUCGACCUUCACAGUUCGGGGAAGCUCAGACACUACAUGACAUCGAGGUGAGUUACCUUCCAGUAAGGGUGGGUCUACGGCUACAAUGCCGACCUACCAACAGGGAUAUUUAGUGGGUAAUUGUCUUUUUGAUAGUUAUCUUGGUUUGGUUACGUGACUUGGACAUAAGAUAUGCUUGCUUAAUAUGAACGUUGUGAUAGUGGUAGUGGCAAGGAAUAGUUUUUCCCUGGCAUAGGUUGUUAGGACCAAUGGGUAGGUCAGUACCCGAUAUGCCUGACUGUAUGUUCAUAUCUGGCUAUUGUAUGCUAGUGGUAGGGUGAAAUAGUCCCCAGGUACUGGUUGAAAGAUGUCGAUGGUAGUUACCGGUUGAAAUAUACUGAUGACAGUUACCGGUUGAAAGAUACCGAUGGCGGAUACAUGUUGAAAGAUAUCGAUGAUAGUUACAGGUUGAAAGAUACCGAUGGUAGUUAUCGGUUGAAAGAUACCGAAGAUAUUAUAUGGUAUGUGGUAUGAUGGGGGAACUCACUAAGCUUUGUGCUUAUAGAUUUUGGUUGUGGUUUCAGGUAUCUCUUCGUCAAAGGGGAAGGAGCCGGCAGUGUGGCAGCGCAUCACACACAUGAUUUUCACAUGGAGUUUUCUGGGAUUGUACUAUGAUUUUAUUACUUUUGAUGAUAUGGUUUUCAGACACGUUGUUAUGGUUUUUAUAAAUUGAUAUGACAUUGGCAAUGUUUGGUAAAUUAUGUUAUGAAUUACUUAAUUUAAAAUGAAAUUUUUGGCCUUGAUUUUUGGGAUGUUACAAGUUGGUAUCAGAGCCCUGGUUUGAGGGAUUCGGACACAUCCUGGGGGUGUCUGGACUCAAACUGAGGGACUAAAAGAUUCUUUUAAGGAAAACAGUUUCAAAAAUUUUAAGUUAAGGGAUUUUGAGAACAGACAAUGUUGGGUUUUGAGCAUUCUAACACUCCUAUGGUGUACAUGCAACCCUAAAUACAUUGGAUCUAUGUUUUCUCUAUUAUACAUGCAAAUAUCAAUUUUCCAAGGUAUUAUGCUAACUAGCAUAUUAUGAAGUACAAGUAAUAUAAAAGUAGUAGAAUUACAUACCUCUUUGUUGGUGCUUGAUUCCAUGGAGCUCAAGAGCCUUGUGCCCCAAAUGUGACACCUCAAAUGGUUCACACAACACCAUGAACAUUUGGAAUAACCAUGAGAGAAGAUAUAAGUUCAUAGAAAUUGGCUUGCCCUCUAUAUUAUGCACUAGUGCCAAUUUCACAAACCAAUGGGGUCUUUAUAUAGUGCGCGCAUUAGGGUUACACCAUGUAACCCAUGACUUUACCCAUUCCUUAUGCUACACGGGUUUUAACAUCUAUGGAGUAUUCAUCGGCCACCACAUGGGUUAAACCCAACAUAAGGAAUCAUAGAUCAUAAGCCCACAUAUAUAAGAAUCAUUGAUUUACACAAUCAAUCCCCAUAUAUUUAAUGAGUCUCUUUUUUAUCACUAAAUUAAUUCUUGAUCAAUACUAAUUAAAUAAUAUGAUAUCAUCUUAAUAUAUUAGAACUUAUAAUAUAUUAAUAUGUAACAAAUAUUUUCUUCUCAUUAAAAGGUCUACCCAAAUGUUCUGAUGCCAUGCAACCCAAAUGGACCAUGUCGGGUCGGCUCAAGUGUUACAGCCCAAAACCAUGAACGGCGGAAACGUUCAGGGGUGGAGGACGUCAUGUACAGUAUCACAACAGUGUAAAAUAGUAAACAAGCAACAACAUCAUCCAUUGCAUUAUAAGUAAAGUUUUAAUACAUGUGUGUUCUUUCAUUGUAAAAAGACACCAAAAAUAUACAAUCAAAAUAAAAGACGAGACUUGUCUGCUCCGUCUUCUCAAAACCUGGCCACCGUACCUGUCUACUGAUGACCUGAGAAUACAAGUUAUUUUGAAAGAGAGUAUCAGCUUUAAAGCUGGUGAAUUCAUAAGUAUUUAAGUGUCAUUGUCUUGCUUACUAAAAGUUGUUUUAAAAGUCAUGUAAACCUUUAAAUGAAAAUGUUGAUGUAAGUAUGAAAAGCCCUAGAAAAUCCCUUAUUUUCUAUCAGUUUGAGAUGUAGUCUUCUACCAAGACCCGAAUGUUUUGUUAUGACAAUGUAGUCUUCUACCAAGACCCGAAUGUUUUGUUAUGACAAUGUAGUCUUCUACCAAGACCCGAAUGUUUUGUUAUGAUAAUGUAGUCUUCUACCAAGACCNCUUAGUCUAACUCAUCGUUUAUGUGAAAGUAUCACAAAAUAAAGUAAACAGGAAAAAGUACUAAUGUAAGUGUUAUCCCGAGGUACUAGGGCUAACACGCCAUCGCGUAAAGCGAAACGUAUAACCUAUCACAAAAUAAAGUAAAUAGGAAAAUAUACUAAAGUAAAUAUUAUCCCGAGGUACUAGGGCUAACACGACGUAUGUAACUGUUAUCCCGAGGUACUAGGGCUAACACGACAUAUAUAUAACCUAAUGAACAUCCGAAGAUUGUCCAAUUGUCCUCUGUAGCAGCAACAGGGCGGAGGAAGGGUUAGUCCCGUAAAGGUACUCCUAGUAUAAGUAAUAACCUUAGACAUCCGUAGAUGUUCAUCACCCACUAUUGCUAACAGAUGGGUUCCGGAAUGGUUAGUCCCGUCCAUAUAUCCCGAGGUACUAGGGAUAGGCUCCCGUCUAGAUAUCCCGAGGUACUAAGGAUAGGGUCUUGUCUAGAUAUCCUGAGGUACUAGGGAUAUGCAGGUAGAUUUACACAGAAGGUACUAAUAACUCAUCCUCACAAUUCGGGAUACAAGUAUUCAUGUUAAUAUACACAGGUAAGUGUAUCUACGUNNNNNNNNNNNNNNNNNNNNNNNNNNNNNNNNNNNNNNNNNNNNNNNNNNNNNNNNNNNNNNNNNNNNNNNNNNNNNNNNNNNNNNNNNNNNNNNNNNNNNNNNNNNNNNNNNNNNNNNNNNNNNNNNNNNNNNNNNNNNNNNNNNNNNNNNNNNNNNNNNNNNNNNNNNNNNNNNNNNNNNNNNNNNNNNNNNNNNNNNNNNNNNNNNNNNNNNNNNNNNNNNNNNNNNNNNNNNNNNNNNNNNNNNNNNNNNNNNNNNNNNNNNNNNNNNNNNNNNNNNNNNNNNNNNNNNNNNNNNNNNNNNNNNNNNNNNNNNNNNNNNNNNNNNNNNNNNNNNNNNNNNNNNNNNNNNNNNNNNNNNNNNNNNNNNNNNNNNNNNNNNNNNNNNNNNNNNNNNNNNNNNNNNNNNNNNNNNNNNNNNNNNNNNNNNNNNNNNNNNNNNNNNNNNNNNNNNNNNNNNNNNNNNNNNNNNNNNNNNNNNNNNNNNNNNNNNNNNNNNNNNNNNNNNNNNNNNNNNNNNNNNNNNNNNNNNNNNNNNNNNNNNNNNNNNNNNNNNNNNNNNNNNNNNNNNNNNNNNNNNNNNNNNNNNNNNNNNNNNNNNNNNNNNNNNNNNNNNNNNNNNNNNNNNNNNNNNNNNNNNNNNNNNNNNNNNNNNNNNNNNNNNNNNNNNNNNNNNNNNNNNNNNNNNNNNNNNNNNNNNNNNNNNNNNNNNNNNNNNNNNNNNNNNNNNNNNNNNNNNNNNNNNNNNNNNNNNNNNNNNNNNNNNNNNNNNNNNNNNNNNNNNNNNNNNNNNNNNNNNNNNNNNNNNNNNNNNNNNNNNNNNNNNNNNNNNNNNNNNNNNNNNNNNNNNNNNNNNNNNNNNNNNNNNNNNNNNNNNNNNNNNNNNNNNNNNNNNNNNNNNNNNNNNNNNNNNNNNNNNNNNNNNNNNNNNNNNNNNNNNNNNNNNNNNNNNNNNNNNNNNNNNNNNNNNNNNNNNNNNNNNNNNNNNNNNNNNNNNNNAUUCAUGACAGUCUUAAAUCAAUACCUACUUAUAAAUUAUGACUGACUGUGGAGAGUCUGAAUAACUUAGUCAUUCGGGAAGAAUGACCUAGUUAUUCUGGAAGUCAAAUCAUGCAAAGUGAAACACAAGAAUAAUACUUAAUCCUAUAUGGUUCCAAACUCUUGAGUGUAAAUAAAAACCCUUUUAUCUAAGCACCAUAUUGAUUACUUAUUAUUCAUUUUUUCAAUUUAUCAACUUAAUACUUGAAUUGAACCAAUAGUCAUGCCAUGCACCAAGCAUGCAUACUAUGUUCGUCCAAACGAUAGCUAUGCCAUACUCCAAGUAUGCACACUAUGUUUACAUAUGGUCUUCUCUUUGUGAAAUAGAUCAAUUGACAAUAUUUCGAUGAUGUUUGUUGCACAAUUCCAAUCCUUAUUGUAAAUGUAAGAAUACCAAACUCUUGCCAUCUACUAUAAUCUGUUAGAUUCUAAAUUUAUAUGCAAUGAUCUCCUUGUAAUGACUAUGCACAAAAGUCACAAAGACUUGGCAACAGACAUUACAGAGUAUUCCAAUGGAAAGCAAUUCCAUGGAAAUGAAGUCUCAAAUUCAAAGUACAUUCCUUUGAACAUCCUUCUUUGCAUUAAGUUCUUUAAUCUUGCUUAGAUUCAGAGAAUAACUUCCACCUAUGGAAACAAUUCCAUGUUACCAUUGUGACUAUCACUUUUGAACAAGAGUUGAUUCUUUUCAGAAUAUGUCAAUAUGGUCCUUUCCAAAGUUUACAUUAUAUUUCCAAUUGUCCAUGAUCAACCAAUCUUUGGUAAACCUCAGAUUAUCCUCGACAAUUGUUUAAUCAUUUUAGUCAUGUCUGGUUCUAUUCCUUUUUAUUUUCCAUGUUCUCACAAUCGAACUAUGAAGAGGGAUGUCGUAAUCAUAAUCAAAUUUUGAGAACGCAACCUAUAUAUAAUUUCCUUAUGUUGAACCAUUCCAACAUAACAUUCAUAUAUAUCUUUGACUAAAGUUGACUAAAAUCUCAAUCUAAGCUUGUAGAAUUGGAAUGAAGUAUAAAAUCCUCUCCCUUAACUAUAGCAAAAUAAUUUUUCAAACCCGAAUUGAAACUUUUGUUUUCUAUAAUUAACAUUUCUAAGUUGCAACACUUAACAUAAUAAUCAUGCUCCUACUAACAUGAUGAUUAUUAUCUUACUAGCAUAACACUUAUGCUCCCACUAGCUUUGACAUGUACUCAGAAAUUAGCUGGACUUCUAGAAAAAACAAUAUUUUAUUGACUUUCUUACUAAAGUUCAGAUUUCUGAUACAAGAUGCUUUGAUAAAACUUUAUCAAAAUCAUACACCUUUCCUUAGAUAGCUCACAUGUUUGUCUAGACCUUUUUCAAUUAUCACUAGUUAGUGUGCCGGUUAACCACACAUGUUCCACUAACUAUAUGAGAAUGCAAAUAUCACAACUGCUAUCUACUUAAAAUCUUCUUAGUGAAAGCGUUUCCUCACCAUCAUUUUCAUGAAUCGAAGAGAAACCUUAUGACACUUAGAUUUUAUGGUGUAUGUGUUCCUAUCCAUGUGAAUUUUUCAAAACCAUAAUCAAAAGACAAGGUUAGUGACAAAUCCAAACUCAAAUGGACUGAACUUGUUCAAUCUCAUUUUCUUGCCACCCGUCAGCACAAGGGCCUACCAUUGCUUCCAGGUUGUUAUGCAAACAAUUGAGAACUCAUAGAACUCACAAGCAUAGCCAACUUUAACUGGAAUGGCACAGAAACAAUAAUAAGUCAACACGAUAGGUUACAAACCUAAAGUCGUGGGCUAGUGAUUAAAAAUACUUUUGAUUAGUUCUUGAAACUAUUUCAGGAUCUGUUAGACUCCCACUGUCGUCUUAACAUAUAAGACUCUCUUUGUCAAGAACCAUUCCUUGACAAAACAAAUAUUCAAGAGUUAGUUCGGAUUCUUAUCAAGUCAAACACCUCUCACAAUUUGUCUUAGUUGGUCUUUGUUUUAUCCAAAACAUCACGACUUACCAAUCUCAAAUGUACAAGAAUAGGAAACAUCUUACUCUACAUUUGACAAGUAUUAUAAACUUUCUAAUAAUUAUGUCACUCAAGGCUCAAUCUUGGAGUAUGACUCUAAGAUUUGAUUUUGGAACGAAGUAUGAUUUAUCUUUUGAUUUGACCAUUUCAACAAUUCAUGAUUCCUCUCCUUAGCCAAACAAAUGAACUAAGGUUUCCUUAAAGGAUCAAAUGUGAUAUGGUUUCAUAAUCACUAAGAUAAUCAUAAAACAAGAUACUCAAGUACUCUCCUAUCUCUUCAGAUUGGAGAAACUUUUAUCUUCCUGCCUUAUUUAAUUAUUCUUAUCCAUUCUAUCAUACAUUGAAAUUUUUCCAAUGUUUCAGAAUUACUCUUAAACUUGUAAGCAUAACCUUAUUUACUAAACUUUAGUAAAUCAUAAUGAAUAAUCUUAUCAACCUUUGUGGUGGACCUAACCAGCACACAACCAAGUGUACCCACUUCUUUAGUCCUUCACUUGACUCACACAUACAUGUGAACAAGGUCUUAGUCUUAAUUUCCCAAAGAUGAAAAUUCUCAUUCAUCACACAAUACAACUUGCAUGAUUCCAAGUUUCUAUCCAAUUGAAACGUGGGUGAUGAGAAACUUUCCUUAUUUGGUAAAUUAUGACACUACCACAAAUGAAAGAAUCAAAUCCAUUUGCUUAUCAAUGGAAACAUAUAAACAACAAUUUUUCACAAAUGCCAUUGUAAGGAUACUUAAAAUAAAUAAAACAAAAAUUUUCUUUUAUUUUAAAACUUGCAGAAAAAAUUACCCUUACAAUGCAAAUUCAUAUGAAAAACAUUUUGUUGUCUAUUCCUAAGCAAUAUAUAUCAUAACUCUUAUGCAGCAGCUCAAAAUUCUGAUCAUCGGACCAUGCAAUCGAAAUCCAUCUUCGCGAUCAGAAUUAGCAUAAUCAUACUUUAAGCUUCCUUUGAUUCUUCCAAAACAUAAAAACGUAAUUACAUUACAUCAUGUAUUAAGAAUCUAAAAAAAAGACUUAAUAGAGCUAGAUAAUGGAGUUUACCCGAAGCAAAGUCAAACCUUUUGACUUUACCUUCCUUAUGAAAUUUUUGGUAAAUUGGGCAGCUUCGCAACCAAUGUCCCUUUUAUUGGCAAAAGAAAUAUAUGGACUCUUUGAAAAUGGUAUACGGGACUAUCAUAGACUUAGACUUUCUCCUUACCAUUAGGUCAAAUGAAUUGACCAUGGCCAAUCCAUUUCAAUUGGGAAGAGAAAGUUUUCUGGACUUCCAAUGUCACCAUUUUCAAUGUCUAAAUAGGUUCGGGAAGUAGAUCUUCUAGUCUAGUUUGCUUUACCAAUGCUCCAAAUGAUUGCCGAUUUAGCAGUAUCAAGCAAAUAGGUAAGAUCACAAAAGGUCAUGUCUUGAUCUAUCAUCUGGGUGUGACUGAAGAACCAAGUCAACAACCAGCUACCUCGAGACUUCGAUACCCGACUCUCCCGGCUUGCCAAUAGGGAUUGAGUGACUUUGAACUUUUCAAGUAUUUAAACUUGUGGGAUAGGGAGAAUAAUUGGAGGAGGUGGGGGAAGUGAAGCAUGAUUUCCUGUCCUAUUAAUGCACAACAAAGGGAUUAAUCUUUCACCAUGAUUGGCAUGUGGGAUAUCAUCUUCAAUAGGAAAGCUUGUUCCUAAAGAUUUGGGAAGACCAUAGUUGUCUUAACUAGACAUCUAUAAUGGGAGAAAUUCAAGUUUAGUUGAUUUAAAGUCCUUAAUAUAACACCCAAUAUGAAAUAUUAAGGCUAGGAUCCAACAACCUAUUUAUAACCGGAAGAGGGAUGUCGUAAUCCAAGCCAUAAAAUAGUUGAAGGUAGGUAAAUGACGAUUUACCAAUUUCCACCAUGAAAAACGAAAUAUAAUUAAGUUUUAAUUGGAUUUGAAACUCCUAGAUCUUUUGAGAUACAUUGAACUUUCAAUGGCAUGUUUGAAUCUCGAUUGUGUCCUCUCAAGUUUGUGACUGGGAUGUCGUGGAUCACAAACAAGGUGUGAAUAACCAUGCAAAUAUACUUGGUACCCUUAAUAUUUAUCACUUAAUCGAUGUGUCGGUUAACUACACAUGCUCCACCGAUCUAAGAUAAAUUUAAGUUACCCUUUACCACACUUGGUCAGUCCCAGGUUAGUGUGCCGGUUAACCACACACGCUCCACUAACGACUUUAUAAGGUGCAAAGUGCAAUUUCAUGGGUUAGCACCUUUUCACAUUUUCCUAAGUAACUAAGAUUGAGAAUUUAAAAGUGUUUAGUUACUUAGUAUUUAUGAUUAUACUUUUAAUGAAUGGAGAAUUAUAGUCAUAUCCUACCCGUUCGGCUAACGAACCUCCACCAGUCAAGGAAGCGGUGGGUGAGAGUAGACACCCAUUAAACUGCCAUUUUAUAGGCAGUAACCUUAUAUCCCCCUUAUAGACAGGCUUCGUGAAUGAGGCUUACUAAUGGUAAGACUGACUUAAUCUUAUACAUAUUUAUAUAACUAAAAUUAUAAUAAUAGUAUAAGGGUUGAAUUUUAAACUUUUAAAAUACUUGGCGGUUUAAUAUAUUAAUUACACUAUACUCUUAAUUUAAUUAAACUUAAACCAUCUCAUUAUGGAACUAUUAACUCUUUUAAUUAAACACUUUAAUUAAUUUAAUGAAGUCCACAAAGUUUGAAUUAUAACUUUUAAAAUUCUAAGGGUUUAACUUGGAAUUAAAAUAUUCAUGGGAAAACUUUACAAAUUCCAAAACUUGAGGGCAAGUUUUGAAACUAUUCAAGACUUUUCAUUUCAUAACUUAUGAGUUUAAUGUACAUUAAAAUGAAGACUCUUCAUUUUAUGUAACUCCUUGUUCUUUAAUAACACUUUUAAAGAAGUGAUUGUUAAACAUCCAUAACUUGAGGACAAGUUAUGGAGUCACAAAACAAUUUAAUGAAAGAAAAAAAUCUUCAUUUUUGUGUAACCUAUGACACUUUUAUGAGUUUUAAGAUUUAUAAGUAUAACUUUUCAUAUAACUUGAGGACAAGUUACAAAAAAAUAUUUUAUGAACUUCUUUUAGAACAAUAUGGAUUGAAACAACUAAAACACAAUUUUUUUCAUAAAUCGAAAGUAACUCAUAAAUCAAGGAAACAUAAUUUUUUUUUGUAAUCCACAACUUGAGGACAAGUUAUGGACUCCAUACAAUUUUAUUGAGAUCAAGAAUUAUACUAACAAACAAUUUGCACAUAAUUCCUAUGAUCUACCAAAACUCAUAAGCAUGAACAUUCAUAAUCAACAAUUUUCAAGAAUUUCAUAAACAUAUAGAAACUUGAAACUUUGACAAUUAUUAUUUAUUUAAAUGAGAUAAACAUUACCAUAACAUCAUAAUCAAGUUUUAUGAACAAAAACACUUUGUGGUAAUGAUUCUAAUCCAAAAUAGGCCAAAAAACUAAAAAAUUCAUUGAACUGUCACCACCUCGUGGUAAAUUUUACCACCUCUUGGUGAACUGGAAGAUUCCAAAAAACGAUUUUUCUUAUAAAUAGCAUCAAGUAUAAUUGAAAACAAGCCUAGGCUCUGAUACCACUGUUGGGUUUUGAGCAUUCGAACAUUGCUAUGGUGUACAUGCAACCCUAAAUACCUUGGAUCUAUGUUUUCUCUAUUAUACAUGCAAAUAUCAAUUUUCCAAGGUAUUAUCCUUACUAGCAUAUUAUGAAGUACAAAUAAUAUAAAACUAGUAGAAUUACAUACCUCUUUGUUGUUGCUUGAUUCCAUGGAGCUCGAGAGCCUAGUUCCCCAAAUGUGACACCUCAAAUGGUUCACACAACAACAUGAACAUUUGGAAUAACCAUGAGAGAAGAUAUAAGUUCAUAGAAAUUGGCUUGCCCUCUAUAUUAUGCAUUAGUUCCAAUUUCACCAACCAAUGAAGUCUUUAUAUAGUGUGCACAUUAGGGUUACACCAUGUAACCCAUGACUUUACCCAUUCCUUAUGCUCCAUGGGUUUUAACCUCCAUGGAGUAUCCAUGGGCCACCACAUGGGUUAAACCCAACAUAAGGAAUCAUGGAUCAUAAGCCCACAUAUAUAAGAAUCAAUGUUUUACACAAUCAAUCCCUAUAUAUUUAAUUAGUCUCUUUUUGAUCACUAAAUUAAUUCUAAUUAAUUCUUGAUCAAUACAAAUUAAAUAAUAUGAUUUCAUAUUAGUAUAUUAGAACUUAUAAUAUAUUAAUAUGUCACAAAUAUCUUCUUCUCAUUAAAAGGUCUACCCAAAUGUUCAGAUGCCAUGCAACCCAAAUGCACCAUGCCGGGUUGGGUCAAAUAUAUAUAUACCAAUUAUAGUUAUGGACUUAGACACUAAUCCAACAGACAAGGUGUGUGAUGCAUAACACUGGCCGAGCUCAAGUAUAUUUUCCCCAAAGAUACCAUACUUGUUAUGUUAUGUGUAUGAUUUAUGAUUCUGAGAAUUUCAUGCUAGAUUAGGGCUAGGGAUCUAGAAGGACGCCUUAUAUGCCUGAUGUAUGAUUCUGAUAACUGCAUGCUAGAGUAGGGCUAAGGACCUAGAAGAUGCCUUGUAUGCCUGAUGUAUGAGAUGUAUGCUAGGACUGUUUAGUCAACGGUAGAAUAGCCUGGUUAGGUUAUGCCUGAUGUGGUUACUCAAUUCAUAAAUGCUUCUUGCUUUGUGAUUAAGGGGUCUUGGAUAGCUUUAACUAACUAGCAAGCGGAUAUUUAACAGUAUUCACAAGCUAGUUAGGGAAGGGAAGUAGGGACUCCUAGUGCAGCUGAUGGCAGAGGGUAGGUCGGAGAAUGCCCUAGGAAAGCCUAGGACGAGAUUGGUAGGAAAGGGUAUCAGUAAAGGGACUUGGUGAAGUUGAAGCAAUCCUUAAGGAAAGUACGGAUAUAUGUGGAAGGUAGUAAGGGCCCGUACUACUGGAAGCAUAGGAUCCAUACUCGAGUCAAGGAGCGCCGAGAUGGAACCAAGAAACUUGGAGAGUACGUGAGACCUCUCGGGGGUAUGUAUGAUCCUAAUGUUAUGUGUUUAUUUUCAGUAUGGCGAUCAUGCGACAUGGAGCAAGAGGAUUGGGUUCAGGAUCAGGAUCUGGCUCUGGUGCAGGAUCCGGGAAGGUUGAUGACGGGCUACGCGAGUUCAUCGAGUCUGAGAUCACGAGAGGUAUCCUUGAUGCGACCCCGAUCAUCUUUGAUUCGAUGAAGGUGGGAAUUAUUGAGCUAAUGGAGGAUCGCUUUCGGGCAUUCAGGAGCGAUUUGGCAUCUAGCCAGACAGGUACGCAUACACUGUCCUUCAAGGACUUCCGGGGGACUGGUGCGCCGGAUUUCCACGAGGUGAAGGACCCCAUUGCUACCAGGAGACGGAUCGCAGACAUUGAGUCUGCGCAGUUGACGAGCUUCUGCCCGGAAAGGUCGAAGGUCCGAUUUGCUGCGGGAUGUCUAAGGGAUAGAGCCAGAUAUUGGUGGGAGUUAGUUGGUGAAUUGUUGGGAGCCCCAGCCAUCGAGGCUAUGACUUGAUCAGAUUUCGUGACCAGAUUCAAGGCUGAGUUUGCACCAGUUGUGGAGCUUCAGCAUCUGGCCAGGGAGUUUUUGGAUAUGAGACAGACUUCGGAGACUGUAGCGGAGAUCACCACCAAGUUCCGAGAGAGUGCAUUGUUGGUAACCAAGUAUGCGGGGGAUGAAGAGAUGCGGAAGUCCCGCUACCAUGAUAUGUUGAGGGCUGAUAUCCGGGAGCAUGUCAGCUAUUCAGCCUGCCCGACCCUGGAGUCCGUGUUUGCCAUGGCGCGGGAAAGGGAGCUCGAUUUGGAACACAUCAAGAAGAGGAAGUCAGAGACUGCGCAGGUUGCGGGGGUUUCUGGGAAGAAACCCAACGGAUUCGACGUGAGGUCGAAGGGCCAGCAGGGGCGGGACUGUUGUGGGAGGUGCGGUCGGUCACAUGAGGAAGUUUGCCACACUGGGUCGGGUUCCGACUACUAUAAGUGCUGCCAAAUUGGACAUUUUGGCAGGGAUUGUACAGCCUCUGCUCCCACGUGUGACACCUCAGCAGCUUUUAGAUGGGCCAUAAAAAGGCCAACUGCGCUAGAUUGUCAGCAGCGCCAGCGGCGGCGUCGACUCCAGCGUCGGCACGGGUGACGGAUGGCCGGAAGGCCAAGGUAGAGGCUCUAGUGGUGCGGAGCCGAGCAUUUCUAUUGACAGCCGAGGAGGCACGCGCUGCACCCGAUGUGGUGACGGGUAUGAUUUCCUUCUUAUGCUUUUAUUUUAUGUCGCUGUGAUUUUGAUAUGUUAUGUAUGUGUUUUGUUUAGGAUCAUUCCAUGUGAACGGUAUCCCAGUUUAGGUAUUGUUUGAUUCGGGUGCUACCCGAUCGUUUGUCUCUCUUGCGCUUAGCAAGAAGUUUCCUGAGUCUUUGGGCAUGCAGGAUUGCCCUUUGGAGGUCGAGAUUACGGACAAUCGGUUAGUGCGAGAAUCAGAUGUCUACUGAGAUUAUGUUUUGAGACUGUUCGAGAAGCAUUACCUGGUAGACAUGGUUCCCAUACCUUUACGGGGGAACAAGGUUAUUAUUGGUAUGGAUUGGAUAAGCCCUAAUGGAGCAGUGAUUGACUAUGCGCAACAUUUGGUGCGGAUCAGGACCCCAAGUGGGGGAGAGCUGGUGAUUCAGGGUGAGAGGCCACAACGAGGACUAGCUUUAUGUUUAGAAGCGAGAGCUAGGCGCUACCUCCAACAGGGUUGCGCAGGAUUUGUCACCUAUGUUAUGGAUACCCGGGAGCCGGGUAAGGCGAUAGUGGGAGAUGUGCCUGUGGUGCGAGAGUUUGCGGAUGUAUUCCCUGAGGAGCUGCCUGGGAUACCUCUGGAGAGGCCGGUAGAGUUCAGGGUCGACCUAGUCCAUGGUGCGGCUUCGAUAGCCAAGGCACCGUAUCGGUUGGCUCCUCCUGAGAUGUAGGAGUUGUCUACACAUCUGCAGGAGCUGUUAGACAAGGGAUUCAUUAGACCGAGCAGUUCACCCUGGGGAGCUUCGAUUCUGUUUGUGAAGAAGAAGGAUGGGUCGCAUCGGAUGUGUAUAGACUAUCAGGAGUUGAAUAAGGUAACGGUGAAGAACCGUUACCCGCUCCCGAGGAUUGAUGACCUCUUUGACCAGCUACAGGGAGCAUCUUGGUUCUCCAAGAUUGAUCUGUGUUCAGUAUAUAGUCAGAUGAGGGUCAGAGAGGAGGAUGUGUAGAAGACUGGGUUCUAGACGCGUUAUGGCCACUAUGAGUUUGUGGUGAUACCUUUUGGGCUCACCAAUGCUCCUGCCGUGUUCAUGGAUCUCAUGAUUCGUGUGUGCAGACCGAUGUUGGAUCCGUCUGUGAUAGUUUUCAUCGAUGACAUCUUGGUUUAUUCCAAGACGCGAGAGCAGCAGGAGGAGCACUUGCGGGAGGGAGGUUCUGGUUACAUUGAGGAGGGAGAGCUUAUAUGCUAAGUUCUCCAAGUGUGAGUUCUGGUUGCACGUAGUGUAGUUUUUUAGGCACCGUGUCAACCAGAACAGGAUUUCGGUUGACCCGGCCAAGGUGGACGCCGUGAUGAGGUGGGAGGUUCGGAGGUCUCCAUCUGAGAUUCGGAGCCUUCUGGGAUUUGCAUGCUACUAUCAGAGGUUCAUUCAGGACUUCUCCAAGAUAGUCGUCCCCCUGACCCGGUUGACGAGGAAAGCCGUGAUUUUUCGCUGGGGGCUUGAGCAGCAGGCUGCCUUUGAGACGUUAAGACAGAGAUUGUGUGAGGCGCCAAUCUUAGCCCUGCCAUAGGGCAUGGAGGACUUUGUGGUGUACUGUGAUGCGUCCAUCUCAGGCUUGGGUGCGAUAUUGAUGUAGAGAGGGCAUGUUAUAUCUUACGCUUCGAGGCAGUUGAAGCCUCACAAGGCGAAUUACCCGACGCAUGAUUUGGAGUUGAGGGAUAUUGUUUUCGCCCUCAAUAUUUGGCAUCAUUACCUCUAUGGGGUUCUUUGUCCCAUCUAAACAGACAACAAGAGCCUGAGGUAUCUCAUGGACCAGCCAAAUUUGAAUAUGAGGCAGCGUUGGUGGCUUGACAUGGUAAAGGAUUAUGAUUGCGAUAUCCUCUACCACCCGUGGAAGGCCAAUGUCAUGGCCGAUACGCUUAGCCGAAAGGUAAGCGAUGAUCAGGGAUAUCUGCUUGAGGAUAACAGUUGUGAAUCCGUUGUUGGAGCAGAUCCGAGAGGCCCAGCAGGAGGCCAUAAAGGAGGAACAUCGGAAGAGCGAGCGAAUUGUGGGCCAGGUUUCCUCCUUCGACUAUGAUAGUCGGGGAUUGUUGACACUUCACCGUAGAGUGUGGUUCACGUAUCUUGGAGGUGUGCGCCAGGUACUAAUGGCAGAGGCGCACAAAUCCAGGUUCUCCAUCCAUCCUGGGGCGACGAAGAUGUAUAGGGAUCAUCGACUCGGUUAUUGGUAGCCCUGCAUGAAGAGGGACAUAGCUUGGUUUGUGGAUAGGUGUCUGACCUGCACGAAGAUCAAGGUUGAGCACCAUAGACCUCAUAGAAAGGUCCAGUCGUUGGAUAUCCCGCUAUGGAAGUGGGAGGAUAUUACUCUGGACUUCAUUACGAAGCUUCCCAGGACCGCGCGAGGGGUGGAUUCGAUUUGGUUCAUCGUUGAUCGGUUGACCAAGAGCACCCAUUUUAUUCCGAUUCAAGAAAGUAUUUCGGCCGAAAGGUUGGCCGACAUCUACACCCGGGAGGUAGUGGCGCGUGUGACAUCCCCAAAAUCUCGGCCAGAAAAGAACGGUUUCAUUUAUGCUUUUUAAACAUUUUCAGAGUAAAUCCUUUUGAUUUUAAAAGAGAUGCGGAAUUUGUUCCCAAAAACAAAGUAUGAUAAAAUAAUAUUUACCAAAGCAUUUCAUAAAGAAAUGUAUUUUCAUUAUAUAACCAAAACUCGGGAUGUCAUGUUCCGAUACAGACCAUAAAGCAUAAAUGAUAAACAUUACAAGUCAUUCAACAAAUAUAUACAUAUACAGACUUGUAAACAAAAACAACUUGAUGAUUAUCCAUCUCAUGCCCUUGCGCCACUUCCUGUAAUACAAAGAAACUGAGUGGGUCAGGCUUGGGAGCCUGGUGAGCAUAUAGGGUUUUCAACCCACAAUAAAUAAUUAAAUUAAUUUUUCAUCAACCAACGAUAACCCAAUUACCCAUUCCCGUUAUUCUCACUUUAUGUCCCUAAAAUAACUAACACAAGGGACCUAGUCUAAGAAUAUUUCAUCGGGGCGACAACACAUGCNNNNNNNNNNNNNNNNNNNNNNNNNNNNNNNNNNNNNNNNNNNNNNNNNNNNNNNNNNNNNNNNNNNNNNNNNNNNNNNNNNNNNNNNNNNNNNNNNNNNNNNNNNNNNNNNNNNNNNNNNNNNNNNNNNNNNNNNNNNNNNNNNNNNNNNNNUCUAGAAAAGUCCGUGGUCGUCAUCUAAACUCCGCUAGAUGACUAAACCAAACAACAACGAGGCCUCUCAUCUGUUUAUUACACACCAACUAUCUACCCAUGUUCUACCCAACAUAUUAGUAGAUAAAAAUAUACAUUUUUAUACAUAGUUUCAAAACCUGUAUAGCAUGCUCGGUCAAUACAUUUUACACAUAACAGAUGAGGCGCACACACACACAUAACACGUAUUUCAUAGAGAAAAUAAUCAUCUCUAUAAGAUAGAAGAGAGUGAACACAGAUUCAUACAUAACACAACCAAAUAUAUACACAUAGCACGUAUUUAUUUAAAAUACUUCAUAUUAUUGUAUUUGGAAGAAAAUAACUACACACUCACUUGAUCAGAAGAUGAUCCGACAGCACUACGGCUUAUAGAAGCAGUGUCUCUCCGUAGAUCUGGAAGAUCUUCACAAAAAACCGGCUCCUCGCGGGCAGGGCUUCGGCUCGGGAAUAACGCUCUUCGGGAUUCUCGGGGCUUCGGAUCUCGCUUCGGGGCUCGGGAAUAAUACCGGGGCUUCGGGGUACAAUCGGCAUGCAAAACGAGGCAAAGGACUAGAGAGAAGGAAGAAAUUUUGAAUGAGAAAUGAGCUGCCUUCGGAUCCCCUUUUAUAGUGCUGGACCCUCGCACGUACGCGGGGCAUACGCCUCGGGGGUCGUUAGCGCUUACGUCAUCGGCCCUCAUACGUCAUUGCAUAAGACUUCGGAAUACUCGAGUGCCCUUCACUGUACGCGGGGCGUACAGCAGUACGCGGCGCAUACUUCGGAUAGAUCGCCUAACCCUUCUUCGGAUGAUAUCGGAGGAUAAAUAAAAAUAAAUAUUAAAUAUUUAUUAAACUUCAAAAAUUCAUAUCUCCUUCAUACGAACUCCGUUUUCGACGUUCUUUAUAUCCACGCGAAGGUGAGACUACGCUCUACAACUUUCGUUUAGACUCCGUCGGCUAAUUUUGACUUUUAUUUUUAUUAAUUAUUUUUAGAAGGCUCGGACAGGAAAACUUCGUUAUAAAAUCAUAACUUCUUCGUCCGACGUCCGUUCUCGCCUAUCUUUGCAUCGUUUCGCUACUAAUAACGAGAUCUUCGAUUCUCAUUUAGAUUGUUUCGGCUAAAAACCACUCGAUCUCAAAUCGAGUAUUCGGGUUGCAUACGGCCAUGUCGAAACUUUAGAAAAUCAUAACUUCCUCAUACGAAGUCAGAUUUGGGCGUUCCUUUUAUGCACGCUCUCGGUUUAACGAAAUCUACGACUUUUGUUUAGAUCACUAAGGCUAAAUAUCGCUCUAUCUUAAAUUCAUAUUUUACGUCACUCGACGUCGUGCCGGUUCUGUCGCGAAACUUCGACAAGUCAUAACUUCUUCGUUAUAACUCGGAUUUUGGCAUUUCUUAUAUCUCCAGAAUCCUUGUUUCAACCACUACAACUUUAUGCAAAGAUAUCGGGCAUAUCUAAUGCUUUAAUUUUGACGCUUAUUUUUAUUCUUAAUUAAUCAAACCACAUAAUUAAGCAAUUAAGCACAAAACACAUAAUACUCAAAUAACACAAUCUUAUUAUUUUCAAAACGGGUUACAAAGGUUAACCUAGACUAUUACAUUGCUAAAAAUGGCAAGCCCAGAAACACAGGCGUUACAAUUCUCUCCACCUUAGAAUGAUUCCGUCCCCGGAAUCACACAUCAACAAACAAAUGCGGAUAGCGACUCAUCAUGUCACUCUCCGUCUCCCAGGUGAGAUUCGGCCCAUUCGUGUGUUUCCAUCGGACAAGCACUAACCCAACCAUUUUGCGUCGCAACUUCUUAGUCUUUCGGUCAACAAUUGCCUCUGGUUCUUCAAUCAACCUUUUGUUCUCAUCAAUUCUCAAUUCAGAAAUUGGAAUUAUAUCGGGAACUUCUCCCGUGAACUUCCUCAAAUAACACACAUGAAAAGUGUUGUGAAUUCCAUUCAGUUCUUCGGGUAAUUCGAGCUUGUAAGCUUGGUUCCCAAUCCUCUGAAGAACUUUAAACGGUCCAAUAAACCUUGGACUCAACUUUCCCCUUUUACCAAAUCUUAUAAGUCCCUUCCACGGCGAGACUUUAAGCAAAACCGAAUCUCCAACCUCAAAAGUCAUCGGUCUUCGCUUUUUGUCAGCAUAGCUCUUUUGACGAUCUUGAGCUGCUAACAUUCUUUCUCUAAUUAUUUUCAACUUUUCAGCAGUUUGAUGAACCAUCUCCGGUCCCAUAAACUGCUUUUCCCCAGCCUCAAGCCAACAAGACGGCGUACGACACUUCUGUCCAUACAAAGCUUGAUAAGGUGCCAUCUUAAUGCUCGAGUGAAAACUAUUAUUAUAGGAAAAUUCUACCAACGGUAAAUGUUCAUCCCAAUUACCUAGGAAUUCCAAGGUACAUGCUCUCAGCAUAUCUUCAAGUGUUUGUAUUGUUCUUUCACUCUGACCAUCAGUCUGCGGAUGGUAAGCUGUGCUUAAACAUAACUUGGUACCCAUUUCCUCUUGUAGACUUUUCCAAAACCUUGAGGUGAAACGGCUAUCACGAUCCGAUACAAUCGUUAACGGAACACCGUGAAGCCUCACAAUUUCCUUCACGUAAGAAUUCGCAAGCUUUUCCAUAGACCAUUUCUCCCUGGCCGCUAUGAAAUGCGCACUCUUAGUGAAUCGAUCAACGACCACCCAAAUCAUGUCGUGACCAUUCUUUGUUCUGGGCAGUUUAGUGACAAAAUCCAUAGCAAUGUCUUCCCACUUACCCAUAGGCACAGGCAAUGGUUCUAAACUCCCGUACGGUUUCUGAUGUUGUGUCUUGACUCUCGCACAAGUCACACACUCGGCCACAUACUUUGCAACAUCAAGCUUCAUCGUCGGCCACCAGUAGUAGGGUUUCAGGUCCCUAUACAUUUUAGUGCUACCCGGAUGAAUCGAGUACAUGGUCUUGUGAGCUUCUUCCAUCAGAAGAUCCCUAAUUCCUCCUGACUUAGGUACCCAAAUACGAUCUUGGAAUACCUUCAGUCCAUGACCGUUAGUACCAAACACCAACGUUUUACCCAAACGUUCCUCCUUUCGGUCAUUUUUCUCAGAAGCUUCCUCUUGAGCUUUCUUUAUACUUUCCACAAUGGUCGAGACAACUUCAAUUCUCAACGCUCUUGGCCUCUUCCUUUCAAGAUUGACCUUCCGACUGAGAGCAUCAGCAACAACAUUAGCUUUACCGGGGUGGUAAAGUAUCUCGCAGUCGUAGUCUUUAAGUAAUUCUAGCCAGCGUCGUUGCCUCAUAUUCAAUUCUUUCUGAUUAAAGAGGUAUUGGAGACUCUUAUGAUCAGUGAAAAGUUUGCACUUCGUGCCAUAGAGGUAAUGCCUCCAUAUUUUCAGAGCGAAAACUACCGCUGCCAACUCCAAAUCAUGAGUCGGGUAAUUCUUUUCAUGCUCUUUCAGCUGUCGAGACGCAUAUGCUAUCACCUUUUCUCUUUGGGUCAAAACACAACCCAAUCCAACACCAGACGCAUCGCUAUAAACAGCGAAGUCUUCAACUCCAUCGGGUAGAGAAAGUAUCGGUGCCUCGCAUAGCUUCUUCUUUAACUUCUCGAAUGCUUCUUUAUGCUUCUCACUCCAAGCAUAAGUAGCUCCUUUGUGGGUCAAAGCUGUUAAUGGAGUAGCAAUCGAAGAAAAGCCUUGGAUAAACCUUCGGUAAUAUCCGGCUAAUCCUAAAAAGCUUCGAAUCUCCGUGGGACUUUUCGGUUGUUCCCACUUCGUCACAGCUUCGAUCUUCGCUGGAUCAACCAUUAUCCCUUCUUGGUUGACCACGUGACCCAAGAAUUGGACUUCACGAAUCCAAAAAUCACAUUUGGAGAACUUCGCAUAAAGCUUCUCCUUCUUCAAAACUUCUAACACUUCUCGCAAGUGUCUGCCAUGCUCCUCCUGGCUUUUCGAGUAGAUCAGAAUGUCGUCUAUGAACACUAUCACGGAUUUAUCAAGGAAAGGAUUACAAACCCUAUUCAUCAAAUCCAUGAACGCUGCUGGAGCAUUGGUUAGUCCAAACGACAUAACCAAGAACUCGUAGUGUCCAUAUCUAGUUCUGAAUGCAGUCUUCUCGAUAUCUUGCUCUCUUACUUUCAGCUGAUGAUAUCCUGACCUAAGAUCGAUCUUCGAGAAAUAGCUCGAACCUUGCAAUUGAUCAAACAGGUCAUCAAUCCUCGGCAACGGAUAUCUAUUCUUUAUUGUUGCCUUGUUCAGCUCUCUGUAAUCGAUGCACAUUCUCAUACUUCCAUCUUUCUUCUUUACAAAUAACACCGGAGCUCCCCAGGGCGAUGAACUAGGUCUAAUGAAACCUUUGUCCAAUAACUCCUGAAGUUGCAUCAUUAGCUCCUUCAUCUCCGUCGGUGCUAAUCGAUAAGGUGCUUUUGCUAUUGGCGUGGUUCCUGGUAACAAGUCUAUUCUGAACUCCACUUGUCUAUCAGGUGGUAAUCCAGGAAGAUCCUCGGGAAAUACUUCCGGAUAAUCACACACCACUGGAAUGCUCUGCAUCACCUUCUUUUCUUUCUUAGCAUCAAUCACGAAUGCUAAAUAUGAUGUACAUCCCUUGGUCAAACACUUUCUGGCUUUCAUUAGAGAAAUGAUUCCAGAAUUCACUCUGCGUUUGUCCCCAUACACCAUAAACGAAUCUUUUCCAGGCGGGUUUACUUUAACUAUCUUCUUCUUGCACAAAAUUUCGGCAUCAUUGGCGCUAAGCCAAUCCAUUCCCAAGACGAUGUCGAAACCAUUUAGUUCGAUAGGCAAUAAUUCCUCGAGAAACUUAUUCCCAUUAAGGUCGAUCAAGACGUUUUUCAUACGAUGGCUAACAGGUACAAACUUGCCACUAGCUACUUCGACUAAUAAAGCAUUAUUUAGUCUAUCAACAGGCAAAGCUAGCUUUCUACCAAACUCAUGCGAAAUAAAGGAGUAGUUGGCUCCAGAAUCAAACAAUAUAUGAGCAGGUAAUUCGUUUACGAGAAAGGUACCUGAAGCGACAUCAGCUUCAUCUUUCGCAGCCUCAAGUGUCAUCUGGAAGGCUCUCGCCUUCGGCUUUGGUGGAAUGUUGGGCCUAGCUGCCUCCUUCUUCUUCGGACAGUCUUUCAAAAUAUGCCCCUCUUCAUUACAACCAAAACACAUCCUUUUGUUGUUCGGACAUUCAUUGGCAAAAUGUCCAACCUUUCCACACUUGUAGCAGGUCACAUCCUCGCUACAUUUCCCAAAGUGCUUUUUCUUACACUUAUCACACCACUUUGCUUCGCCUCCUUUUCCUCCAAACUUUUUCGAAUCAGAUUUCGAAAAUUUGCUCUUCUUACUGGAACCAGAUGUUCCUUCAAACUUCCUUUUCUCACCAACCUCAACCUUGACGGUGGUUCUCCCCUUGAUCAUGUUCUCCACAGACUUGGCAGCCCAGAUAGCUGCCUCUAGAGUAAGUGCCUGACGUACCGGCACCUCGUACUCCCAUGGAAGUCCCUUCGCAUACCGAUCCACCUUUGUCAGCUCGUCUGGAACGAUACGCAAGGCAAACUCCAUCUUAUCGGUGAAGUUAUUGGUGUAUUCAUCAACUGACAUGCUACCCUUCGUCAAUGUCAAAAACUUAUUCUCCAACUCCAACAGAUUUUGAGCCGAGCAGAACUUGCGCUUGAACUGCACCAAGAACUCUGCCCAUGACAAUUGCAGUGGCUCAUUAGGGCUUAAGGUCUUCCCUAGAGUGUUCCACCAACGAACGGCUCCACCUCGGAAUUGUCGCACGGCAUAGAUAGUCUGCAACUUACCUCUGCAGCCACAUGUCAUAAAGGCUAACUCCAUUUCGGAGAUCCAAUCCAUAACCCCAAUCGGAUCCUCCUUUCCAUUGAAGGUCGAUGGUUUGCAAGUCAAAAAGUCCUUGUACUUGCAUCCCAUUCCAUCAUUCCUUCCUUCAUGGUUAUCUUGCCUAACUAUCGGUGGGUUGGCUGGACCAACAGACCCACUGAAGUUUCCACCUUCCGAGUGCCCUUCAUUUAAUUCAGGCUCUUCCACACGAAUCGACAGUUCUUCACGAUUUUGUUGAAGCAACCGUCUAGUUUCAUCCAUCUGACGAUCCAACAUCGUCUGAAUCAUCAAUUGCACACCAGCCAUGGUUAUUGGCUCAGGUGCUGCUGCUACGACAGGUAUUGGCUCAAUCACUGGUGGUUGAUUCCUGUUUUCGUCAGCAUUUCCAACUCCACUUCUUGUUCUCACCAUUUUGAUCUACACCCCGAAUAAGGUGAAAUUAGAUCCUCAAUCAUGAUAGAUAUUCAAAUCAUCCUUAUCACUCCGAAACGUUUACAUGCUAGUUCUAAUAUCGUAGACGUACGCUUAGAAUCCUACACACAUAAGGUUUCUAGAUCCGGUCGGCAACAGACCAUAGAUCCGAACAAAUAAUAUCAUAUAUGGCAACAUAUAACAUUUAGCACAUAAAGCAUUUUAGGCAACUUUCCUAAAAUAAACUAGUGCUCGUGUCUAAAACACAACAGACACACAUCUCAAAACUUCACUUAGCAUUCUAAGUUUAAGUCUAGAAAUCCUACAAAUUCCUAGUUCGCUUAAACUAAUGCUCUGAUACCAACUGUGACAUCCCCAAAAUCUCGGCCAGAAAAGACCGAUUUUCAUUUAUGCUUUUAAAUAUUUUCAGAGUAAAUCCUUUUGAUUUGAAAGAGUUGCGGAAUUUGUUCCCAAAAACAAAACAUGAUAAAACAUUGUUUACCGAAGCAUUUCAUAAAAGAAAUGUAUUUUCAUUAUAAUCAAAACUCGGGGUGUCAUGUUCCGAUACAGACCAAUAAGCAUAAACGAAUACAUUACAAGUCAUAUAACAAAUAUAAACAUAUGCAGACUUGUAAACAAAACAACUUGAUGGUUCAUCCAUCUCAUGCCCUUCCGCCACUACCUGUAAUACAAUUUAAAACUGAGUGGGUCAGGCUUGGGAGCCUGGUGAGCAUAUAGGGUUUUCAACCCACAAUAAAUAUCAUAUUUAAUUUUCACCAACCAACAAUAACCCAAUUACCCAUUCCCGUUAUUCUCACUUUAAUGUCCCUAAAACAACUAACAUAAGGGACCUAGUCUAAGAAUAUUUCAUCGGGGCGACAACACAUGCUUCGGGGGUACCUCAGCAAUAUAAGUCAAAUAAGGCAACCAUGAGGGGGAUGGAGUACAGCGAAUGAACACCCAAGUUCAUUAACACCUACAGGUGGCGAACCUGCUAAUGUUUCCACAAGACUGUCUAGAAUAGCCAGUGGUCGUCAUCUAAACUCCGCUAGAUGACUAAAUCAAACAACAACGAGGCCUCUCAUCUGUUUAUUACACACCAACUAUCUACCCAUGUUCUACCCAACAUAUUAGUAGAAAAAAAAUACAUUUUUAUACAUAGUUUCAAAACCUGUAUAGCAUGCUCGAUCAAUACAUUUUCCACAUAACAGAUGAGGCACACACACACAUAACACGUAUUUCAUAGAGAAAAUAAUCAUAUCUAUAAGAUAGAAGAGAGUGAACACACAUUCACACAUAACACAACCAAAUAUAUACACAUAGCACGUAUUUAUUUAAAAUACUUCAUAUUAUUGUAUUUGGAAGAAAAUAACUACACACUCACUUGAUCAGAAGAUGAUCCGACAGCACUACGGCUUAUAGAAGCAGCGUCUCUCCGUAGAUCUGGAAGAUCUUCACAAAAACCGGGCUCCUCGCGGGCAGGGCUUCGGCUCGGGAAUAACGCUCUUCGGGAUUCUCGGGGCUUCGGAUCUCGCUUCGGGGCUCGGGAAUAAUACCGGGGCUUCGGGGUACAAUCGGCACGCAAAACGAGGCAAAGGACUAGAGAGAAGGAAGAAAUUUUGAAUGAGAAAUGAGCUGCCUUCGGAUCCCCUUUUAUAGUGUUGGACCCUCGCACGUACGCGGGGCGUACGAGGCUAUGCGGGGCGUACGCCUCGGGGGUCGUCAGCGCUUACGUCAUCGGCCCUCAUACAUCAUUGCAUACGACUUCAGAAUACUCGAGUGCCCUUCGUUGUACGCGGCGCGUACUUCGGAUAGACCGCCUAACCCUUCUUCGGAUAAUAUCGGAGGAUAAAUAAAAAUAAAUAUUAAAUAUUUAUUAAACUUCAAAAAUUCAUAUCUCCUUCAUACGAACUCCGUUUUCGACGUUCUUUAUAUCCACGCGAAGGUGAGACUAUGCUCUACAACUUUCGUUUAGACUCCGUCGGCUCAUUUUGAAUUUUUAUUUUUAUUAAUUAUUUUUAGGAGGCUCGGACAGGAAAUCUUCGUUAUAAAAUCAUAAAUUGUUCGUCUGACGUCCGUUCUCGCCUAUCUUUUCAUCGUUUCGCUACUAACAACGAGAUCUUCGAUUCUCAUUUAGAUUGUUUCGGCUAAAAACCGCUCGAUCUCAAAUCGAGUAUUCGGGCUGCAUACUGCCACAUCGAAACUUCAGAAAAUCAUAACUUCCUCAUACGAAGUCAGAUUUGGGCGUUCCUUUUAUGCACGCUCUCGGUUUAACGAAAUCUAUGACUUUCGUUUAGAUCGCUAAGGCUAAAUAUCGCUCUAUCUUAAAUUCAUAUUUUACGUCACUCGGCGUCGUGCCGGUUUUGUCGCGAAACUUCGACAGGUCAUAACUUCUUCGUUAUAACUCGGAUUUUGACAUUUCUUAUAUCUCCGGAAUCCUUGUUUCAACCACUACAACUUUAUGCAAAGAUAUCAGGCAUAUAUAAUGCUUAAAUUUUGACGCUUAUUUUUAUUCUUAAUUAAUCAAACCACAUAAUUAAGCAAUUAAGCACAAAACACAUAAUACUCAAAUAACACAAUCUUAUUAUUUUCAAAACGGGUUACAAAGGUUAACCUAGACUAUUACAUUGCUAAAAAAUGGCAAGCCCGGAAACACAGGCGUUACAGCGCGGCACGAGGUGCCAGUUUUGGUGAUUUCAUACAGGGACAUGCGGUUCACUUCCAGGUUUUGGAAGAAGUUACAUGACGAGUUGGGUACUCGACUGCAUUUUAGCACCACCUUCCACCCGCAGAUGGAUGGUCAGAGCGAGUGGACCAUCCAGACUCUGGAAGAUAUGCUGCGAGUGUGUGUUUUAGACUUCGGGGGUAAUUGGGAUACAUACCUUCUAUUGGCAGAGCUCUCCUACAACAAUAGCUAUUAUCCGAGUAUUGACUGUCCUCCUUUCGAGAUGUUAUAUGGGAGGAAGUGGAGGACCCCGACAUGGUGGGGAGAAGUGGGACAAAGAGUCAUGGGGAGUACCGAGGUGGUGCUGGGUUUUGAGCAUUCUAACACUCCUAGGUAUACAUGCAACCCUAAAUACCUUCGAUCCAUGUUUUCUCUAUUGUACAUGCAAAAAUGAACUUUCCAAGGUAUUCAUUCUAACUAGCAUAAUAACAUUGAUUCAUAUGAAUAUAUCAAGUUAGAAUUACAUACCUCUUUGAUGUAGAAUGUCUUCAUGAAGCUUGAGUGCCUAGUGCCCCAAGUGUGACACCUCAAAUGGUUCACACAACACCAAAUACACUUGGAAUAACUUGAGAGAACAUACACACUUCAUGAAAUCGGCUAGCCCCUUCGAUUCACACAUAGUGGACGAUUUUUCCCUAGAAUAUGAUCUUUAUAUAGUGUCACAAUUAGGGUAAACCCUAAUUGUCAUGGCUUUCCAUUUCCAUGAUCCAUGGGUACAAAUACACCAUGGAGCAUCUUAUGGAUUUUAGCCCAACUUGACAAUCCAUGAAGCAUUAGCCCACUAUACAAGUAUGGAUGAUUUACACAAUCAACUCAUAUAUUUAAUUAGUCUUCUUUUGAUCACUUAAUUAAUCCUAGAUUAAUUCUUGAUCACUACUGAUUAAAUAAUCUUAUUAAUAUCUUAGAACUUAUGAUAUUUUAACAAACCUUAAGUGUUAUUUCUCUCGUUAUAGUCUAUCCAAAUGCAUGAUGCCAUGCAACCCAAAUGGACCAUGCUGGGUCGGGUCAAGUCUUACCAAUUAUAGUUAUGGACUUAGACAUUAAUCCAACAGUCUCCCACUUGGAUAAGUCUAAAACUAUUAUUGCGUAUGACUUCAGGAACCAACUGGCAAUCGUAGCUCUCAAAAGCUUCUGUCGAACUCUGACCUUGUAGAUGAACUCUGACCUUUGUCAAUGACUUGUCCAUUAGAUAAGGGAUCAUAUAUUCCUCCAUUCUAGAUAUCAUAUGGACUGAGACAUGGAUUAUAAUCAUUCUCUCUGUCCAUUUGUUGUUUCCCGAUUUCCGAUUUAUGACGACUGACUAAUUGAACAAAUCAAAUCAGUCCUGGCCCGGCCGAGCACUUCCAUUUGUCAUCAUCAAAUCAUCGAGGGGCCCACAGAUAUCGCUUUUAUCCCGAAGGUAAAAGGAAUGGAUAAACUUCGACUCAUAUGGCUUGUUCUACUACUUGUUGAAUCAUACACAAAGGCACGUUUUAUAGCACCGAGUUACCAAAUGCGUUUUCGUGCAAUCAAUGUACUAUCAACUCAUAGUAACAACUCAUAUCUCUAGGUUUGAAGAAUAUAAGAUAUUAUCGUCUCAUGAUCACUCGUGAUAAAAUCCAUGAAGUGAUUCCAAUGAGUGCGGAUUGAAUCCAAUACUCAGAACUUAUGAGCACUCAUGAGUGUUGUAGCCCUUUGUCCAACACCUUAGACCUCUACAAGCCAACCCAUGACAGUCUUAAUUCAUAUCUACUUCCAACAUAUGACCGACUGUGGAUGGUUUGAAUAACUUAGUCAUUCCGGAAGAAUAACCUAGUUUAUUCGGGAAGUCAAAACAUGCAAAGUGAAACACAAUAAUAAUUGAAUCCAAUAUGGUCUCAAAACUUAUGAACAUAAAUAAAACACCUUUUAUUUAUCACCAUAUGAUUACACAUUAUUCAUUGUAUACUGUUUCAGCUAUCAACUUUAUUCUUGAAUUUAAAACAAUAGUUGUCCCAUGCUCCAAGCAUGUACACUAUGUUUUCUAAACACUAGUCAUGCCAUACACCAAGUAUGCAUACUAUGUUUGUCUAUGAUCUUUACUUUGUGAACUAGAUCAAUUGAACAUAACUUCAAUGAUUCUCUUUUCACACUCCCAAAUCCUUACUACAAAUGCAAGAAUUCCAAAUUCAUGCCAUUUACUGAAAUCUGUUAGAUUCUAAACUUAUAUGCACUGAUCUUCUUGUAAUGAUUAUGCACAAAGUCAGAAAGACUUGAUAAC
rnacentral:lncRNA from 1 species